rnacentral:lncRNA from 1 species
UGUUACAUGGAAGAAUAUGGCGUAACAGCACAAGAGGCAUAUGAUGUAUUCACCAAGCAUGUUGAGAGUGCUUGGAAGGAUGUAAAUCAAGAGCUUUUGAAACCAACAGAAAUGCCAACCGAGGUUUUGAACCGUAGCCUAAACCUUGCAAGGGUGAUGGAUGUACUUUACAGGGAAGGCGAUGGCUAUACAUAUGUUGGAAAAGCGGCUAAGGGUGGAAUCACUUCAUUGCUCAUUGAACCAAUUGCACUUUGAAAUUAUGUUAAUUUUUCCUCUCCAAGCUUGUUUCCUAAGAAAUAGUUAUUAAGUUCUAAUUAAUAAUGUUUUAUAAUAUUCAUAUAUUAUAAAAGAAAGUCCAAAUCUAUUAUCUUUGUACUUAUUGCCUUAUAUUAAUUCAAUAAAGUUCUUUCCAAACUUUUCAUUGUGAAUAUCUUCUAUUUUAUAUAUUAAUUGAUUUUUUUAUAUAUUUUUUUGGUAUAAAAUAAUAUGUAAUAUAAAAAUAAGAUCAGUUAUAAAUACCCGAAUUAAGAUUAAAAAAAAUCCACUAAACACUACCACCUAAAGUUUAUUAAGAUAAGUUUUGAAUUAUUUAUUUAUUUAUUUCGGUAUAUCAUUAACUUUGAAAAAUAAAAUAUUUGAGAAAUUAUUUUAUGAAUCUUUCCCACUACAUCAUUUAGGGUUUAUUUCCAUUUUUGGUAUAAUGACAUUUCAGCAACUUUUUCCAUAUCAUUAACAAAAUUUUGGUAUUUUUUUUAACCCUAAACCUUGAACCAUGAAUCUUAAAUCCCAAACCAUAAACCUUGAAUCUAAAACCUUAAAUCCCAAACCCUGAACGUUGACCUCAAACCCUAAACCUAAAUAUCAAACUCUAAACCCAAACUCAAACUUUAAAUCCCAAACUCGAAUCUUGAACCUUGAACCUUAAAUCCUAAAUUCUAAACCUUGAACAGUUUCUAGUUUGGGGUUCAGGGUAAAAUAAUUACCAAAAUUAUAUGUCAGUGACAUGAAAAAAUUACUAAAAUAUCAUUAAAUAACUGGAAAUGGACCAUAAAUAAUAUGAUCAGAAUGAUCCAUAAAAAAAUUUCUCCAAAAUAUCGAAUAUUAAUUUCCACUUAAAAGUCAACAAAUAUAUAACCAAUCCCAAAAAAUCAAUAGUGAAAUUCAAAUUUGUGUUACACAAUAUGUUGCAUCACAUGUAAUAAAUAUUGUAAAAAGAUAAACGUCUUUUUUAAGGAAACUAUCAAAUUUAACCAUUAGUAGAUGAUAAAAGUUUUUGUAAUCAAAUAAAUUAUAUUAUAAUUUAUGUUAUACAAAAUUUGGUAAUAAAAUAAAAUAUAUUAUAAUUUAUGUUAUACAAUGUAGUAUAAUAUAUAAAAAUAUUGUAAUGUUGUAGUAUAUUUUGUAAUGACUAUUUUCACCAACCAAAAUAUAUUAUUUAAAUUUGAAAUAACGUAAAUGUUAAGUUUCUAAUAUAUAAUAUUAUAUAUGUACGUAUGUAUGAGUCAAGUACUGACGGCUACCAAAACAAAAUGUUUUAAAUCAAAGAAAAAAAAAACAAUGAGUAUAUUAUAUUAUUAGUCACUAAAUUAUAAGUAAAUUUUUAUUUUGGUCACUUAAUUAAAAAAGUUACAAAUUAAUUACAAAUGUUUUCUAGAUUUUUUUUUUGGUCACUUGACUAUUAAGUGACACUUUUUAGUUAGUAUAAUUACAAGUUUGGUCCUUGAUUUUUAUACUUUAUGUCAAUUUGACCCUAAUGAUGUAGUCGUAAACCAACUAAAAAUCUGACUAAGGCAAGUGUACCUAUCAAUUAAUAGUAUAGCUACGGUGAGCAAAUAUAUCGUUCCCACGAUGACUAAAAGUAGUAGAAAUUACUAUCUUUGUAUUAUUUAAUCGAUAAAUUCGAAUGAUUGAUUGAAAAUUAAAAUUAUCUAAACUAAUUGCUAAUGAACACGAUAAAAAAUAAUUAAGGAAAAUAAACGAUUAACAACCAAGAAGCGAAACAAUACCCAAGAAAGAAUUCACCUAGGUUUCAUCUGUUAUUAUCAAUCUAAAUUACGUAAUUUCUUCACUUUGUAUCUUGAUCUGUAGAAAUCCCUAAAUUAUGUUAAUAUCUCUCUUCAAGACUAAGAGCAACUGACUCUAGGUUGAUUAAUUGAAAUUUCUUUCUAAUUAAAACCCAUAUUACUGCAUUAACUCAAUCUAUGAAUCCCCCUAUUAGAUUUCACUCUACUGUAAUAUAUUUAUGUCGUCCUGUUUCUAGGAUUGCAUGCAACUUCACUCAAUUAUGCUAGAUCUACUUUUAGACAAGGUAUAUUCCUCAUCUGAUUUAAGCACAUCAAACAUGAAUUAAUAAUUUAGAAAUAUCAAACUAAGAAUUAAGCACACAUAAUUGAGAACAAGUGCAAUACCCCGAAAAUUUACUACAUUAAGAAAGUAAUAUAAUAUCCCUGAUAUAGUAAAAUAAGGAAAUAAAGUGAAAAAGGGGUAAUUUUGAGUUAUGUCAACAUUGGGAAGUAUAUUAUGACAUAUUAAUUCAAGAAAGGAUUAAAUCGUAAAAGUGAGAAAAGUUUUGUUGCCCAAGAGUAAAUAUUCAAAAUUUGAGGGGUUAAAAUGUAAAUAUGAAAAAGUUGAAGGACCAAUAGUGUAAAUAUUUUAAGGGUGGAAUGAUCUAGAAAUUAAGGAAAAUGGAUGAAUUGGGACCAAAUUGAAUAGGUGAAGAAUUAUGAGGACUAAAUCAUAAUUUUACCAAAUUAAGUGAUGACUCAAGGAUGAAAUUUUAAAAGAUCAUAAAGGGCAAAAUGGUGAAUUAGAAGAAAGAGAAAUCUAGAAGAAAAUGAUGAUGUUGGAGAUAUUUUAGAUUAAAUAAAUAAAUAAAUAAAUAUUAGUUUAUUAAUAUUUUAAUUUGAUUUUUAAAUGAUAUUUUAUUAUUUUAUUAUUAUUCUAUUUAGUAUAUAUAUGGAAGGAAAGAUGAAGAAUCAUCUUCUUCUUCCCAUGCAUCAAUGUAUGAAGAGAAAAGAAAGAAAGAAACUUUCUUUUCUUUACAAUUUGGUCCUUUCACCAAAUAUUCGCCAUUUUCACUUAGAAAUCAAAAAAAUUUCCAUAUCCAUCAAGAGAGAAAGAUAACAAGGAGACUAUGGGGAGUUAGAAUAUCAAGUUAGAUUCAAGCAAUAGAAGCUGGGGGAGAAAGAAAAUCAAGUUAAAGUUUGAAACUAAGAGGACAAGAUAAGAACAUCAAGAUUUCAAUAUAUUUUGAAGUUUGAUAUUAUUGAAAAAGCAUGAAAAUGAUGUUAUAGUAAAGUUUUCUUAUAUAAGAUCUUAUGUUCUUGAUAUAUUAGUGAAGGGAAAUAAGUGAAAGUGAUGGGAAAUAUUAUAGAGAAAGGGAAUAAGGGAGUUAUAAACUUAGUAAUCAACAUCUUGCACUAAAACAGUUUUGGACAGAAGUAGUACGUUAAAUUUGAAAAAUCAUCAUAAAUCGUAGAAAUCGAAUUAGAGGAUGAAAAAAUAUGGAAUUAAAGCUUAUUGAGUCUAGUUUUUCAUAAAAGAAACAGUGUAAGUAAUAGAAUUGUAAAUCAUGAGAUAUAAUAAAUUUUUUGAGACAAGGUCAGAAUGAAUUCGGGUUUCCCUAUUCUGACUUUGGAAAAUAAUUAAAAAUUGUAUAAAAAUAAUUGUGGGUUAUAAUUUAUAUGUUUAAAAUUAUUAAUGAAUCUACCCUCAGUAAAAACAAAUGGGAACAUCAUCCAAAUCUCGUACGAGGAGAUAAUUAAUUUUUAGUGAAGAAGGGUUGAAACUGUCAGACAGCAGAACAGGGAUGCCUUUAAAGAAUAAACUAUACUUAUUGGCUAAACCAUAAAUUCUGAAAAGUUUAUGGUAAGAAUAUAUGUGAGUUUAGUUUCAUAUAAAUUUAGCAGAUCUUAAUUUGGAGUUCCGUAGCUCAAGAUAUAAAUAAUUUAGUGACCAUGACUCAAGUGGACAGCUUUGAAUGAACAUAUAAAUAAAUAGUGAAAUUAUAGAUAAUGUUACAUAUAAGCAUGUUAUAAACAUUAAGGAUGUGGAAUGGAGAGGAAGAGGAGGAAAAUAUAUGAUUAUUCAACUAGCAUGAGUUUUCAUUAAAAAUGGCUAAUUUGCAUGCUUUAGGUUUAGGGACUAAAUUGAAUAAAAGUAAAAUUUUAAGGGUAGAUUUGUAAAAAUAUCAAAAAGUGACCAAAUUGAAUGAAAUAUUAAUUUAGAUCUAGAUUGGGUGGAAAUUCGAGGAAAAUAAAAAUUACCAAAAUGUCCUUGAAUUUUGGUAUUUUUGCAAUUUAGCCUGGUAAGUUCGUAUGAACUAUAUUCUGUAUAAUUUUAAUUAAAGUGAAUGUUAUUUGGUGAUGAAUAUUAUAUAAAUAUGUGUUUUAUUAUUGGAAUUGAAUUAUUAUUGGUAAUAUGUAUAAUUAUUAGAUGCAUUGAAAUUAUUAUCGGAAGCUCGAUUGGGUUGGAAGCUUGUCGGAGAUAUAUCACACUAUCCAUUGGUUCUAUCGGUAAUUUUGGAUGAUUUGAUUCUGGUUAUAAUGGAAUGUAUAAGUUAAAUUGGCCAACGUUAGCUCAUUAAUGUUUAGAUUUUAAUUGGUUAUAAAUAUGAAUGCUUGAUAAAAUGAAAUGUCUGUAAAUUAAUUUGUAAACUCCAGUAAUGCUCUAUAACCCAAUUUUGGCGAUGGAUACGGGUUAGGGGUGUUACAACAAGAUCCAAGUAUUUAUUGCAUAAAAAUAGAAAUCAAAUAACAGAAUCUAUCUUAGGGUUCAUCUCCCUAGGUAUUUUGAAAAUUAGUUCAUGAUAACAAAUAAAAACAUUCCAAAGACAAUAUAACCACAAGAAAUAAAGAAACUCUUAAUAAACUUCAAAGAAAUCAAAAGGAGAUCUUUAAUCCUGAUGGAAAUUUGCUUCAGAGUCAGCUUCAAUGGUGUUUUUCGAGUUAUUUUCUUGAGUAUUUAAUGAUAGUCCUCUCCCAUCUUCUUAUUUUUGUCAUGUAUAGGUCUUAAAAUGUUCGAAAAACCUAUAAAAAAAUUUCUCGCGAGUUUGGAGUGCGAUUCGCUAUUUCCACACGGGUUGGCACAUGACCGUGUGGCAACUCAUGUGGCUUAGAUGGUCAUGUGUCCAGCCCAUGUAGAACGAUCUAGCUUGUGUGGCUCCUAAAACCUGUUCUGAUUUUCGCUCCUUUCCAAAUGCUCCCCUAAAUAUAAAAACAUGAAUUUAAAGGAUUAGGAAUAAAAAAUUCACCAUUUAAAUCGAAUAAUCAUCCAAAAACCUUUAAUGUGCUUUAUAUUAGUUUAAUUCUACUUUAUAAUUUGUUCAGGCAUGUAUUUGUGAUUAUACUAUAAUCACACCGUAUUGUACUUGUAAACUAAAACAAAAUUUAUAAUUUCAUAUUAUUUUUUUAAUAUUAGUUUUACAUCCUCACUCAUCAAGUAAAUUUGGGUUAUAAUUAUUUGAUUAUUGAGCUUCUGAAGAUGAAUUUUUUAGGCAUAAUGACUUAUUUGAUCUUUUAAAUUUUUUUUUAAAAAGUCAUUUUAGCCUUCCAUUUAAGUUUUUGUCUCGUUUAGCUGUUAAAUUUGCGUUUUCUACCAAAUCACCCUAAAAUGGAUUAAAAAGCUAAUAUAUGUUAACUUUGUUAGCAUGAUUGCCAUGUGGAUACUAUCUCAACAAUUAAUUUUUUUAAAAAUUUAAUCAUAAAAAAUCAAAAAUCCAAAUCCAAAUUAACCAAAACCCGAAAUAUUUUGAACUUAAAAUGAUUUUAACGAAAAAAGAAAUUAAAUCUAAAAUGAACCGACCAAAAAACCCAAAACCUCAUGUUUAAAUUAUAUGAAUUUAGAAUUAUUCAAAUCAAAAUUCUUAUUCCAAAAUUAUUCAAAUCUAAAAAUUUUAAACUAAAAUAUCCUAAAAAUGUUAAAACUCAGAAUUAAUUGUUCCAAAUCACCCGGCCGCUCAACUGAAUGAUCUAAUUAUAGGUAAUAAUUGAAGCUUGUUUAAUUACUAAUUGUUUACUAAUUGUUUUACGAUUUUUGUUAAGUUAAAAGAUAAUUUAUUAAUUUUAUAUGAUCCAACAUAGAGGUGCUCAUGGGUUGGGCGGCCCGGCCCGACGGCCCGCCCGAAAUUUGGGAGGGUUCGAGUAAAAAUAUAGGCCCGAAUUAUGGGCUUGGGCAAAAAAUAAGGCAAAAUUUUUUUGGCCCGGGCCCGGCCCGGCCCGGCCCAGAUCUAAUUAAUAUAUAUUUUAUUUUUCAAUUUUAUUAUUACAGUUACAUUUCCCAAUUCCCCUCCCCAUUUCCCAUUUCCCGACCCCGUGUAUCUGUAAAUCCUUAACCCCUUCCCUCCUCCCUUUUUUUCCCCCAAAUCGAAAACCCACCUCCACCGAUCCACCAUUCCACCUCCGGUGUCCGGUCCUCCACAACUCCACCUCCACUCUAGCCUUCAACGUGGUAGAAUUUCAAAGGUAAGUUUGCUUUUAACCCUAUUUCUUGUUAACGGUUUUCUAAUUUUUCAACGUCUUCUCCCCUUUUUGCUUUUUGAUUUUGAUUGUGAUUUUGAUUUUUGCUGUUAACGAUUUUCUGAUUUUGAUUUUGAGACACUGAAUCUUGGGGGAUUUUGAUUGUGUUUACACUUUACAUAUUGUUCUAUUUUUUUUUAGUUCUUUUGCGGAUUAAUGUGAUUUUCUUUUCUUGAAUGAUGAUUGUUCUUUUGUUGCAAAUUCGUUCUUUUAUUAAAACCGAAAAAGGAAGAAAAUCAAUAGAAUUGGAUUUAGGGUUUAUGGAAUCUAAAAAAACUGAAAAAAUAACCCUCCAAAUUGACUGCUUAAAUUAAACUAAACUAAUAUGUCACUGUCAUUAACAACAAUUUUCAUUUUGGAUGAGAAUUAAGAGCAAAAUUGUAUUAUUCAAUUAUUAUUGGAUGAGAAUUGAUUUAUGUUUUAUAGAACAUGUAAUUUGCAGGGCUGAAUUCUGAGAUCACAUACAAGUAUAUUUUUUCUGCUUCUUUCAUGCAUGCUGGUUCACAAACAGUAGGUGGUAGCCUCGUUAAGGCUUGUGGUAGCUUGGGUGCUAUUAAACAAGGUAAGCAAGUUCAUGGAAACUUUUUAGUAUCACCCUAUUUUGAUGAUGAUGUUGUUAAGUCAUCUUUGGUUGAUAUGUAUGCAAAAUGUGGAUUACCUGAUGAUAGUCGUUUAGUUUUCGAUUCUAUUAAGUUGAAAAAUAUGGCUUCUUGGACUGCUAUCAUAUAUGGCUAUGCUAGAAAAGGAAGAAAAGAAGAGACUUUGGAGUUGUUUUUAAGGGUUCACCUGAAAAAUUUGUUUGCUUGGACUGCUUUGAUAUCUGGGUUAAUACAGAGUGGAAAUGGGGUUGAUGCAUUUGGCUUGUUUGUUAAUAUGAGAAGGCAAGGGAUUAUUAUAAUUGACCCUCUUGUGCUUUCAAGCAUUGUUGGUGCCUCUCCUCAUUUAGCGAUGUUGGAAAUAUAAGUUUUACUUAAAAUCAAAAGUUAGUUUUUUUCUUUCUUUCUCUGAUCUUUACUGUAAAUAUAAGUUUGAUCUAUUGUAGUUAAAUAACUAGUUUAUUAUACUGUUUUAACAUAUUGUUUUAAUAUAUUGUUUUAGUAUACUGUUAUAAAUAUACCAUUUUAAUAUAAUGUUUUAAUAUACUGUUAUAAAUAUACUGUUAUAAAUAUACUGUUUUAGUAUACUGUUAUAAAUAUACUGUUUUAAUAUACUGUUAUAAAUACUACACCUUAAUUAUUAAUGUAAUAUACUGGUUUAAUAUAUUAUUAUAAAAUUUGUAAUAUACUAUUUUAAUAUAUUGUUAUAAAUUAUCACAGUGAGACCAGUUAAAUUAUCAUAGUUGUCGAAAUCGUUUUUUGAAAAACAAAAAUUUAGUUGUCGACUUUAAAAAUAAAAUUGGAGUCGCCACUGAUCCUUUAUUAAGGUGUGAUCGGCUCACCUUAAAAAUUAUUUUGGUCUACGAAUUUUGAGAAAACGAGUUCGGGAGUCAGUUACGUACGAGGAAGGGUUAGCACCCUCGUAACGCCCAAAAUCGGUACCAAAUUGAUUAUUUGAUGUCUUGGUGUCGAAAGUUAAAAAAGAUUUUAAAAUAAGCUUGAAUGAUGAAAUUUGAAAAAUGAUAAUCAAUUGUUCAAGUCAUGUAAAGAAACUGAGUCCCAAUACGUUAGGGUACAAUUCCUCAUAAUCCCCGAACUUUGAAUAUCACUUUUAUUUUAUGCAAAAAUCUUCAUUUCGAGAAAGUAACAGGCCACACCCAAUACGUUAGGGCACAACAAGUUAAGUUCCCAAAAAUGAUUUUUAUGCUCAUGCAUUUUGAAUAAAGAAUAUUCUCAGUCAUUUAAGAUUGACAAAGAAAAUCAGAACCCGAUACGUUAGGGCUCAAUUUUCCUCGAAAAUCCCAAACUUCAAAAAAUGCUUUUAUUCAAAAAACCUUUAAAUCAAGAAAAUAACUUUGAUGAAUGGUUAAAACUAAAAUGUAUUUUUAAAAGGGUACGUUAAAAAAGUUAAUGUACAAUGUGGUACAGAUACUUUAAUUCACAACAUAUACGAAUAAAUAUUUACAAAUAUAUAUAUACAAAUAUAAUAUAACAAUAAAGUUGCAAACAUAUGUACACAUAUAUCAAAAACACAUAUACAAGUAUACAUGCAAAUAGAAGAAAUGAAAUAUAUCCAAUAAAACAAACAAAAAACAUGUAUAAAAAGAAAAUAAAAGUAUAAAAGAAAAUGCAUAUGUAUAUAUUUUCAGAAUAAAGGAAAAAUAUAUAAAAAAUAAGAAAAUAAAAUAAGGAUAUAAGGAAAAACGUAUGUAUAAAUAUAUGCAUGUAUAUAUUAUAUAAAACAAAUGCGCAUGUGUAUGUAUUUUACGAAAAACAUUUUUUGAAAAUGAAAUUCACAAAAUAUAUGUUUUGUAAAAAAUAUGAAAGAAAAAAAGAAAAUUAUAUAUAUAUAAAAUGUGCAUGUAUAGAAAACCAAUAUAUGUAUAGAUAUAUAUAUUAUAUAAACGUGUGUAAAUGUAUAAGAAUACUAGAAAAACUAAAAAAAAAAUGACUAAUGAAGGAUUAAAUCAAAAAGAAUCUUAAGGGCCGAAUUUAAAAUAAAAUUUUAAAAAAGGGGCCACUUGAAUGCGCGCGUAACAGUGGAGGACCAAAAAGGAAAUAUGCCCAUUGAUCCCACGGCACCGUUUCGACGUAAUCUACAGUCCUGGUUGAUGAACCAAAUUGAAACAGGCGCGAAAUUUUGUGGCAAAAUUGCAAACGUGCGAAAUACUACAUUUAAAAUCAAAAUAAAAUAGGAAGGACCGGACGUGCAAAUAUCCCAUAUGACGUCAGAACGCGCGAAUCCUCCCCUCCGGGUCGGGUCACCGCGCAGGUCUGGCCAUUCAAAACGGCGUCGUUUUGAUCUGUUAUUUAAAACAGAAUUUUCUUUCUAAAACCAUUUUAACAAAAUGAAAAUAAAUAAAUCAAUAAAUCCCCCCCUUUUGCUCUGCUAGGGUUUCACCCCUAGCGUCCUCGCGCUGCCGCUCGCCUGGCCAACGCUCCGAUCGCGACGGAGGUGGCCACCGAUCCGGCAUUCUCAACGAAUGGGGUAAGAUCCUUUCCCUUGCUUUUAUUUCUAAAAAAACGCAAAAAGAAAAGAGAAAUAUAAAAACAACAGAAUGGAACCCGAUUCACCUUUUUAAAAACUUUGUAUUUUUAAUAUUUUUCUUUUGUAUUUCUCUGUAUCCACUCUCUGUUAUCCCCCUUUUACAAAAUAACAGUGGCUUUAUAUAGCCCAAAAACUAUUUGUUGCUUUUUAUUUUACACUAUAUUUUCGCGGAUGGACUCUCUGAGUCCGUGUUUGCAGGCGAGAGUGGAUCAAAUGGCGCGCGUGGAGAGGUCAGCCCUGAGACGUGUGGCGCUUGGAAAGGCUGCUGAAGGCGGGGAGGCUGCGACGCUCGCUUGCUGGUACUAUUUUAGGUGUAUUGGGCUAGGGUUUAGGUUGGGUAGUGUAUUGGGUCUUGUUCAUUAGCUUGGGCCUGAGUGUUAUAACGUGAAAUGGGUUUUAGAUUGAGCCUGGGCCGAUUGGGCCCUAUUACAGCUGCCCCUCUUUGCUCAUUGUCGUGUAACGGGAAUAGAGCAAAGACUACAGGGCCCAAUUGUCCCUUGUCUUGUGGAGCCUCAACUUCUUCAAUGCUUCUCUUCUUUAGGUAGCCACGUUCCUUCCUGCUGCAUCUUCAGGGGUAUAGGCACUGGUGCUCCAAUCUACUCCACUGCAAUGUCGGGGAGAUAGGAUUUGUAUGCUGUAGCUUCUUAAAAGGACAAAAUUUGCUAUUUUUAAUCUGCUCCACUGCAACUUCAGGAAGAUAAGACUUGUAGCUUCAAUUUGUUCUGCUACAACUUAAAGAUAAAUCUUGGCGCGAUCUGCUCUGCUGCAACUUCAGAGAGAUGAGAUCUGUGGUUUUAAUCCACUCCAUUGCAACUUCAAGGAGAUAGGAUUUGUUACUUCUGUCUGCCCCACUGCAAUUUCAGGGAGAUAAAACCAGAUAUAAUUUGCUCUCUGCGACUUUAGAGUAAUGGGAUCUGCUGCGCUUGAUCUACUUCACGCCAAUGAAGACAAGGUCUGUUCUCUUCGAUCUACUCCACCACCAGUAUGGGGAGACAAGAUCUGUUGUCUUUGAUCUACUUCACGCCAAUACAUGAAGACAAGAUCUACUUUUUCCUUCGAUCUACUUCGCCACCAGUAUGGGAAGACAAGAUCUGUUGCCUUUGAUCUACUUCACGCCAGUACAUGAAAACAAGAUCUGCUUUCUUCGAUCUGUUUCGCCACCAGUAUGGGAAGACAAGAUCUGUUAUCUUUGAUCUACUUCACGCCAGUACAUGAAGACAAGAUCUGCUUUCUUCGAUCUGUUUCGCCACCAGUAUGGGAAGACAAUAUCUGUUAUCUUUGAUCUACUUCACGCUAGUACAUGAAGACAAGAUCUGCUUUCUUUGAUCUGCUUCGCCACCAGUAUGGGAAGGCAAGACCUGUUACCUUUGAUCUACUUCAUGCCAGUACAUGAAGACAAGAUUUGUUUUCUUCGAUCCGCUUCGCCACCAGUAUGGGAAGGCAAGAUCUGUUAUCUCUGAUCUACUUCACGCCAGUACAUGAAGAAAAGAUCUACUUUCUUUGAUCUGCUUCGCCACUAGUAUGGGAAGGCAAGAUCUGGUAUCUCUGAUCUACUUCACGCCAGUACAUGAAGACAAGGUCUGUUCUCUUCGAUCUACUCCACCACCAGUAUGGAGAGACAAGAUCUGUUAUCUUUGAUCUACUUCACGCCUGUACAUGAAGACAAGAUCUGCUUUCUUUGAUCUGCUUCGCCACCAGUAUGGGAAGGCAAGAUCUGGUAUCUCUGAUCUACUUCACGCCAGUACAUGAAGACAAGAUCUGUUAUCUUUUAAUCUGUUCCACUGCUGCUCAGGGAGAUAAGGAUUUAUGAUUCCACCGACCUGUUCUCUGUGGACAAUGACCUGUAUGAUGAACCUAAUUAUGCCUAGUGAUUAGGAUAUCAUGAUUGGAAUGAAUCACAUGCUCCUAACUAGGCGUGUAUGAAUGACAUCUAAAUGCUAUGUCAUGAAAAUGAUUCAUUAAUACUAAAUAUUGAAGUCGUUAUUACUCAUUAAGGCUUUCUUUGUGAUAACAACGCUUCGAAAAAACUCAAAAAUUCUUGAUCCGGCUUUUUACUCCUAUAUAUCUUCGACCUUUUAACCCGGUGAAGUCUAAACAAUAGUCCUGCUUCAGGUUCUUGUAUUAUUUAGAAAUUUCCAGAGUAAUAUGAAAAACUUCCCUUGUGAAAGUUUUAUUAGUCCAUUAAUCGUUAUUCUAAUGCAACAUGCUUUCGAAAAGAUCAUAACGAUGGAUAAAACGAAAUUGACUUGAGAUCAUAACUUGCAAUAAAUUAUUAAUGAAAACAAGUCAAAAAAAGAAAUUGACUAAAACACUUAUAUUGAAAAAGAAUGAAGUGUUUUGGAAAUACAAAUUAUGGACAAGUGCCCCAGAUAUCUUUGCUUGAAUUGCUCUAUACAACUUUCUAAGGACCCUUCUGAAUUCAACACGUGUUUAGGAGAUUCAUAGUAUUUUGUUGAUGCCCCAAGAUGUCAUCUAUUCCUUUCUGCCGAUUUAGGUACAACAAGACUACCACGUGCUUCAAUCAGACUUUGAGCCGUCCUUGUCAGGUUUUCAACUCAAACCCCUUUGGUCUUAAGGUGCCCUUUGCGGGUUUUCACCCUAGCCUCUCCGUUUUUUUUUUUGGAAUCAAAGCGCCCUUUGCGGGUUUUCACCUUGGUUCCUUCCCUUCUUCAAGUAAAGUAUCUCUUGACCGAAUCUGAAUUUACUGGAUUAGGCAAGUUUCUUCCAUCCAUUUCAGCCAGGAUCAGGGCUCCUCCAGAAAAGGCCUUUUUUACAACAUAAGGACCCUCCCAAUUCGGCAUCCAUUUCCCCCUAAAAUCUUUUUGUAAAGGAAGAAUUUUUCUCAACACCAAGUCCCCCUCGUGAAAUUCUCUGGGUCGGAUCUUCUUGUUGUAGGCUCGCAUCAUUCUUUUCUGGUACAUCUGACCAUGCUGAAUAGCCUUUAGCCUUUUUCCCUCUAUCAAGUUCAACUGAUCGUAUCGAGAUUGAACCCAUUCUGCUUCAUCCAAUUGUAGCUCAGUCAAAACCCGGAGAGAAGGGAUUUCAACUUCGAUGGGCAAGACUGCCUCCAUGCCAUAAACUAAGGAGAAAGGCGUUGCCCCGGUGGAGGUCCUGAUUGACGUUCGAUAAGCAAUGAGGGCAAACGGUAAUUUCUCGUGCCAGUCCCUAUAAGUCUCAGUCAUCUUCCCCACAAUUUUUUUAUAUUUUUAUUAGCCGUUUCCACUGCACCAUUCAUUUUUGGGCGAUACGGCGAUGAAUUGUGAUGUCUGAUCUUGAAUUGACUGCAGACUUCUGCUAUUGAGCUGUUGUUCAGGUUCAGCGCAUUGUCAGAUAUGAUUCUUUCAGGCAUUCCAUAUCGACAUAUGAUCUCCCUUUUCAAGAACUUACUGACUGAUGACUUUGUAACGUUAGCAUACGAAGCAACUUCUACCCAUUUGGUGAAGUAGUCAAUAACCACAAAUAUGAAACGAUGCCCAUUUGAAGCCUUCGGCGAUAUUGGCCCGAUGACAUCCAUACCCCACAUGGAGAAAGGCCAUGGAGAAGUCAUGACAUGAAGAGGCGAAGGACGUGCAUGCAUUUUAUCACCAUAGAUUUGACAUUUAUGGCACUUUUUGGAGUAAUUGAUGCAAUCCCCUUCCAUGGUGGACCAGUACUACCCGAAUCUCAUAAUCUGUCUAGCCAUUGUGAACCCACUGGCAUGCGUUCCACAGAUGCCCUCAUGGACUUCCUCCAGGAUUUUCUUUGCUUCCACGGCGUCCAUACAUCUUAACAGUACCUGAUCUUUUCCCCUCUUGUAUAAGAUCUCCCCAUCUAAGAUGUAAUCAAUGGCUAGUCUUCUCAGAGUUCUCUUUUCAUUCUCCGUUGCCUGACCAGGAUACUCACGGUUUUUUACAUAUCGCAGUAUAUCUUGAUACCAGGGGAUAUCAUUGAUUUCUUCUUCUUCGAUAUUGUAACAAUGAGCCAGAGCUUCGUAGAUACUCAUUUGGAUAGGCUUCAUGUCUUCUUGACGGUUCACUUUAAUCAUGGAGGCUAACGUAGCUAGGGCAUCAGCCAUCUAGUUCUCAUCUCGUGGGAGAUAGCAAAAAGUGAUGUCCUCAAACUCUUUAAUCAAUUCAAGGACCAGCUUUCAAUAAUUGACUAAUUUGGGAUCCCUCGUUUCCCAUUCACCCUUGAGCUGAUAUAUCACCAAUGCUGAAUCUCCAUAGACCUCUAGCACUUUGAUUCUUCGCUCUAUAGCUGCACGAAUACCCAUGAUGCAUGCUUCGUAUUCUGCCAUGUUGUUUGUACAAUCAAAAUCCAAUUUGCAAGUGAAAGGAUAAUGAUCACCAUUCGGGGACACCAGGACUGCCCCAAUUCCAUUGCCCACAGCGUUCGAGGCUCCAUCAAAGUUUAGCUUCCAACUGUGACCUUCUUGGGGAUUUUCUUCAAUAGCGGCUACUUACAACAAGUCCUCAUUCUGAAAAUCAAAACUUAACGGUUCGUAAUCUUUUAAUGCCCUGCUAGCCAGAAAGUCAGCUAUUGCGCUCCCUUUUACAGCUUUUUGACUCACAUAGACGAUAUCGAAUUUAGACAGUAAAAUCUGCCACUGGGCCAUCCUCCCAUUCAAAGCAGUUGACUCCAUCAUAUACUUUAACGGGUCUAACUUUGAAAUUAGCCAAGUCGUAUGGUAUAACAUGUACUGCCUUAAUCUUCGGGUUGUCCAAAUCAGGGCACAACAGAACUUCUCAAUGGGCGAAUAUCUCAUUUCACAGUCAGUGAAUUUCUUGCUGAGAUAAUAUAUUGCCCUUUCUUUUCUCCCCGUUUCAUCAUGCUGGCCUAGCACACACCCCAUGGAAUUAUCAAACACUGUCAAAUACAAUAUCAGCAGCCUAUCUGGGCUAGGUGGUGACAGCACCGGAGUAUUGGACAAAUAUUGUUUCACCUUGUUAAAAGCUUCUUCGCAUUCUUCAUCCCAAGUACCAGGGUUAUGUUUCUUCAAAAGAUGAAAUAUAGGGUCACAUUUCUGAGUUAGUUGUGAAAUGAACCUAGCGAUGUAAUUCAGUCUUCCGAGGAAACCUCGAACUUCUUUCUGAGUGCGAGGUGGAGGUAAGUCUCGUAUUGCAUUGACUUUGUCUGGGUCAAUCUCGAUUCCCUUUUCACAGACUAUGAAGCCUAGCAAUUUUCUUGACCUGGCCCCAAAAGUGCACUUCGCUGGAUUAAGCUUGAGUUGGAACUUUCAAAAUCUUAAGAAUAACUUUCUCAAGACCUGCACAUGUUCCUCCUCCGUUCUAGAUUUCACGAUCAUAUCGUCAACGUAAACCUCGAUUUCCCUGUGCAUCAUAUCAUGGAACAAGGCUACCAUAGCUCUUUGGUAUGUUGCUCCUGCGUUCUUUAAUCCAAACGGUAUUACUUUAUAACAAAACGUCCCCCAUAACGUAAUGAACGUAGUCUUUCUCAUGUCCUCAGGAUGCAUCUUUAUCUGAUUAUACCCAGAAACACCAUCCAUGAAGGAAAACAUUGAAAAGCCUGCCGUAUUGUCUACCAAUGUAUUGAUGUGGGGUAAUGGGAAAUUGUCUUUUGGACUAGCCUCGUUCAAAUCCCUGUAAUCCACGCACAUUCGUACUUUCCCAUCUUUCUUUGGAACUGGAACGAUGUUGGCCACCCACUCAAAAUACUUGACUUCUUGCAGAAAUCCAGCAUCAAACUGCUUUUGGACCUCAUCUUUUAUCUUCAACACGAUGUCAGGUCUCAUCCUUCUAAGCUUUUGCUGCACUGACUUGCAAUCCUCUCUUAUAGGAAGGUGAUGGACUACAAUGUCGGUACUCAACCCCGGCAUAUCUUGGUACGGCCAUGCAAACACGUCCUUGAACUCUCGGAGUAACUCGAGGAGGUCUUGUCUUGUCUUUGCAGAGAUAUUCGAUCCGACCUUCACCUCCUUUCCUUCCUCUAAGCUCACAAUUUCUAUUGAUUCCCUGUAAGGUAGGAUUUACUUCUCGGCCCUUUCUACCAUCUUCAACAAGUCAGGAGACAAACCACAGUCUUCGUCAUCUUCAAAAUCAUGUGAUCCUUCUAAACACAUGUUUCGUUCAAAAGGAGACUCUAAAUUUAUAAGUGUGACAUUCGUAUCAUUGAUAUCGUAUGACCUGUUAUGAAAAAUAAUAUGGAUUCAGGAAUUUGUUUGGUGCAAUAUGGUCAUGAAUGAAAUGCAAGUGUAGUUUGAGAGAAAUUCAAAAUAACUGCUCUUAUGGAAAGAAAGAUUUGCUCAAAAAAUGACUGCAAAAAUGAACUUUAUUAAAAUAACGAUUUUUUGGACAUGAGCCUAUUUCACAAAGGAAUCCUUAUCACUUCUAGGCUAAAAGCAAUAAGGGUGUUCUGGACAUUACUAUGAGGAAAUCCUAAAAACUACAGGUAUUUCUUCUGCAGUCCAGUUGUUUAGCACACUUCUCAGUUCGUAAGGUUGAAUAUCCUACAAUGUUCCUCCUCCCGUCGCUUCUUCAUACACGGCAUGAAUACUUUCUAACUCCAUGUUAAUACUUUCGACUCCUAGUAUUCCUUGAUAGAUGAAUCCUCCCAAUACAAAAGUCUUAGAUAGGUGAGGAAAGGUCAUGGGCUCCCAUUUGACUUCAUCACCUGUCAAACGAGCCCUUCUUCUCUCUCGCUUCUUUUCUUGCUCUAUCCUCUUCUGCCUAGCAUCUGGCUUGUAUCCUAAGCCAAAAUGGUCCUGCUUGUCUUUCAAUACUGGAGCCUCAACUCGGCCCUGAAGAUAUUUCCCCAAUCCUUUUCUCGGCAAAGCUCCAUUUCUAAUUGUCAAUUGCAGACCCAUCUUUGUGGUCUUUGAUAUUCUCGGCAUCGGGAUCUUGUUUCCCUCAAGGAUGAAUGUUACAUUUACGAACUCCAAGGAACGGAAAGAGCACUCGAUUGCAUCAUCACUUGUUUCUAAAUAAGGUGCAUCGUUGGUCACAGAUGUAAUGAUAUCUUCUUCAACAUUUAUCGUCACUAGCCGACCUUCUGACACCAGCUUCAGUUUUUGAUGUAAUGAUGACGGUACCGCUCCUGCUGAAUGAAUUAAUGGCCUUCCUAAUAGGAAACUGUAAGAAGGCUUGAUGUCCAUAACCAAGAAGUCUACCUCAUAGCUAGUUGGGAAAAUUAACAAGGGUAUGCCAAUUCUUCUCAUGACUUUCCUCUCGGUGCCAUCAAAUGCUCUCACCAUAUUCUGGUACGACUUCAUAUGUGAACUAUCCACAGGUAGCCUGUUGAGCGUGGAUAGAGGCAAUACAUUCAGUACCGACCCGUUGUCUACCAGAUUUCCUGGUAAUAUGCGCCUUUUACACCUUGCAGUGAUGUGUAAAGCUCUAGUAAAUCCCAUACCCCCAGGUGGUAUUUCAUCAUCGCUAAAGGAGAUGAAGUUAUCAGCGCUUAUAUUGCCGACCAGUCGAUCCAACUUGUUAACAAAGAUAUCAUCAGCCACAUAAGUUUCGUUUAGCACUUUCAGUAGUGCAUUUUGAUGUUCCUCCGAGUUCAGGAGUAAAGCUAGCACAGAUAUGCGAGCUGGUUGUUGGUGCAGUUGUUCCACAACGCUGUACUCGCUAUGCUUUAGAAACUUCAAGAACUCUCUAGCUUCCUCCUCUUUGAUUGGUUCAUUGACCAAUAAUUCAGGUUCGACCGCAUUCUUCCUCUUUCCAACCGAAGCUUCUUCUCUUAUUGGCCCUUCUUGAGCUUCCAUCUGUUCGUAGUGCCUUCCUUCAUCCUGAUCCUCUUUACUGAUUAUAUCCUCUUUCCCCAGGAUUAUCACAUUACAAUCGUGAUUCCAAGGAACCUCUUGUUAUCCUUAUAUGCAAACACAGCCGGUUUUUGAAUGAUUACUUUUGGUGUUAUACGUGCCCCAACCUCACUGUUCUGAGGUCGCGAAAUGAUGACCACAGGAUGGUUAGCCUUCGGAACCCCCAAUGCCAACUCUAACGCGCAUACAUGAUUCUCCUCUUGAACUCCUUCACAGAAUUCCAUCUCCCUAUUAUCCAUCAUACCUUGUAUCAUGGCUCUGAAUUCCGUACACUCUUGGAUUUCAAGCCCCAAUUCAUGGUGGAACUCACAGUAGUUUCCCCUCUUUUCACAACUUCCUUCUGAGACGAUUAGUCCCCUUUUCACCAUCUCCUUCCAGACCCAUCUCAAAGGAGUUUUCACAUCCGCAAUGUCUACCUUGAUUCUUCUAUCUUCGCCCAUCAUAUUUACCCCACCAUCAGUGUGGUUUGGUAUUGGGUUUUCUACCUUGGUCGAGUCAUCAAAUUUAACGACAUCCAUACCAAUGAGCCUUUCUACCAACUUCUUAAAGGCCGUACAGUUUUCUAUGGAAUGCCCUGUUCUUCCCGCAUGAUAGUCGCACUGUGCAUUCACGCCGUACCAUUUGGGGUUGCAAGGGCUUCAGAUAGAAAGGGGAAACUACGUGUGCGUCAAAUAAAUUUCGAUAUAGUUCCCUGUAUGAUAUAGGAAUUGGCGUGAAUUGGGGCCUCUCAAUAUUUCGCCUUGUACCGACCUCUUGUCUCGACGAGCUUUGCUGAUUGGCAGCCACCUUUCCUGGCUGACUCACUGUUAAUGACUUCAAGUAACCUUUGCUGUACAUGCUCGCGUUGUUCACCUCAUUUUCCUUCAUCUUCAAAGCCGAUCUUCUGUUACUCUCUCCCGCAUCGAUCUUCCCAGUCCUAAUGUCAUUCUCAAUCAUCUCGCCAUUCAUGACUAUGUCAGGAAAGCUUUUUGUGGCACUUUCUAACAUAUGUGUAAUAAACGGUGCCUUCAGGGUGUUAAUGAACAACAUGGUCAUUUCCUUUUCCAGGAGCGGUGGCUGAACUUGGACUGCAACCUCCCUCCAUCUCUGUGCAUACUACCUGAAGCUUUCACUCGGCUUCUUCUCCAUGUUUUGAAGGGUGAUUCUAUCAGGAGCCAUGUCUGUCACAUGACGAUAUUGUUUCAUGAACGAUUGUGCCAAGUCCCUCCAUAAACCAAUCGUGGCACGACUCAACUGAUUGUAACAUUUGGAUGCUGCCCCUACAAGGCUGUCUUGGAAACAAUGUAUCAAGAGUUGGUCGUUGCUAACAUAUCCCGCCAUUCAUCUGUAGAACAUAGUGAUGUGAGCUUCUGGGCAACUUGUCCCAUUGUACUUUUCGAACUCCGGCAUCUUAAACUUAUGAGGGAGCACCAAGUCUGAAACUAAGCUCAGCUCUUUGGCAUCAUUGCCUCGAUAACUUUCAGCAACCUCCAUUGCCUUGAACUUCUCCUUGAGCCACUUGCAUCUUUCCUUUAACUGUUUCGGUAACUCCUCCUUCACUCUUUCCUUCUCAACUACUUCAUCAAAGUCUGGAAUGACAGAGUGAAUAAGAUUAUUUUCGAGGUUAGAUCCCGGUCCAGCUUGAAAGCUCGAAACACCAGCCCGAAACUGCUGCGACAUAAUGGUGACAGUAGAUUUGUGCGGGUAUUCAGCUUGAGUUCGCACAUAUGGAGGGGUGAAACCUGGAGGAUAGAGAGGUUCAUCACCAUUUCCCUCAUCGACAUUUUCCAUGGGGCCCUUUCCUUUAUCACUUCCCCUAGUUAUCAAUUGGGUUAACUUUGCCACUAUAUCUUCUUGGGAUUCUUGCAUCUUCUCAGACAUCUCUUGUUUCAUCUUAUCUAACUGCUCCUGCACUUGUAGCUGAAGUCGGUCUUGCAUCUCCUUCUGACACUGUUCGAGUUUUUUCAAUCUCUGAUCCAUAUCUUUUGUUUUUGCUCGAGUGCCGUAUCGAUGUUGGCUUGGUUGGUUGGUUUCCAGGUUAACUGAGCAGUGAUUUUGACUUAUUAGGAUUAAAUAAAAAUCUUUAAUACAUAUAAUGCGGUGCUAAUGCAUAUGAUACGAUGCAUGAGAUGAAUGCAAAAAAAGGCGUUAAUUAUAAUUCAAUUCCAUUCAGAAAACUUUACUAGAGAAUUUUUUUUACAUAAAAUGGCUAUAAAUAAGGCUUUGCCCUAACACUUAGAACUUUAAUCUCCCUAAGUAAUGGUGCCAACUUCUGCCCCUGAUCUGAUUCUGAUUCGUACUUCACACUUAGUAUAUCAGCUUGUAUUGCUAAAGUCUGCAGGUGCUCAACUACCCCUUGAAUCUGUACCACAGCUUCUUCCAUAAUGUGAUCCCUUCUUGCAACUUGAUCCUGGAGAUAGUGAAGUUGUUCACUUUGAUGAUCUUCAUUUGCUUCCAGAUGUUCAAUCCUGGCUUCACAGUUCUGUAAUGCCAUCUCUAAUCCUUCUACUGUUCUCUUCAUCUGCUCGAUCCUGCUCAAGCUUGCUUGCAACUCCAUCACAACAUUGCGAUUUCGAUAUUGAUGAAUAGUUUCCUCUAGUUCGGCCAUCCUAGCUUUUAAUUCAUCAUUUUUAUUCUGGCUUUCUGACAAACUCCUCUCAAAGGACUUAUUUUGCUUUUGAGCCUCCUGAAAUCUCUUUUUCCACCUAUCAGCCUUGACCUUUUCUUCUUGAACUUCUUGACGCCACUGCUCUGAGGUUUUUCCCAACCCAGCAGUUCUCACUAACAUACGUAGUCUCUUAUAAUCCGUCUUCAAGCUAUUCAAAUCUUUAUCGGCUUUGCGUUUUUCUUUUCUCAAGCCUUCGGUUUCCAGCUUCUGAACAUCCAUGUCCAACUUUAAAUUCAUCUUCUCCUCUUCUAUUUGCUCUAUCUUCCUUUCAAGCUCUGAGUUUCUUCUUUCAAAAUCCUGCUUUAUAAUUUCUAGCUCAGAAGGGACCAUAUGUACAUGCUUUUCUACUAAUUGAUUGUCUCCUUGACCUGGUGCAGGUAUAUUAUCAUUGACCCUCCUACCUAGCCACUUGAUAUAUUCAGAAGUCGUCGAUGGACCUACUACCAAUCUCUUCAUUCGUCGAGUCUGCCUCCAAGCAUUUGUCAUUUCUCGAAUCUUCUUCUUGUAACCAUCAUACUUAUACGAGAAUUCACUUUGAGCUAAUCCUUGGGUUGUAGGUACGAACUGCCUCAAUCUAUACUGUCUCAAUACUAGUAAUGGUGCAUAGCUGAUAGCUCCCCAAAUCCCAAGUAAAGGGACCCAAUCGAAAUCUCCACACCUAUACAAGAUCUCAUCUGGCAGCAUCCAAGGAGCUCUCUACUCGAUGUUCUCCUCUUGAAGAUUCUGAAGAAUUACAAUCCAUCUUUCUUCUAAAACACCAUCUUGCCUCGAUAUCGCCAUUAUUUCUUUCAAAGGCGAAUAAGUUUCAGAAAAAACUCGAUAGGAAAAUUUAUCAGCCUUCCAGAAGUGACUGUGAAACCAUGCCAAGAGAAGCUGCGCACAUCCAACGAAUCUUCAUUCACCUACUCUUCGGUAUUCGUUCAAUGACCUAAAAGUUUUUGCUAAAAUUACUGGAACCGGUGUGACUCCUUUACCAAGUCGAUCGAAAAGAUCAGUGACUGCUUCAUCAAUAUGUCCCAAGGCUUUGGGAAAGAUAACUAAAUCGUAAAUACCCAAGGCAAAGACAUCAACCCUCUUCCUCGUAUCCAGAUGUACUAGAAUUAAAUCCUUCAAGCUCUUCCAAGGAAUGCAUUUACUAUCUCCCUUUUGUUUGAUUCGUGCUGCGACCCAUUACUCACUCAUCCCCGUAAUAUUCAUCAAUUUCUUCAAAAAGGUUGGAACAUUAGCAGCUCUCGAGUAGGCUUUAUCUACUUGGAUCUUCGAACAACGAAGCAAGGCCGUAUAUUCCUCCACCGUAGGCACUAAGUCAACUUUUCCAAAGGUAAAGCAACUAUAAGCAGGAUUCCAAAAUUGGGCUAAGGCACGAAAUAAGUGCUUAUCCACCUUUAAGUCGAGCAAGUAAGGUAUGUCUCCAUAGCUAGAGUAGAAGAGCUGUUUAACCUCAUCAGUCCACCUUUCCCAAAUUUCCUUUAGUUCAUGUAGGCUAUUCUGGGUCACGCUAACACGAGUGAAGUCCCACAACUCUGACACAUAUCCUUCGGCCAAACUAUCACCUUUCUCUUGCUGUGUUGUCUCUGACCAAGUUUGGACAGCCGCAUUAUCUUCCACUUUAUCAAGAAACCCUUUUUCCAUGAUAAGCUUUCUAUCUAGCAACCGAAUAUGAACUAACGCCCUUUUAGGAUGAAAUGCUAUGCAAUCAUGAUGUCAUGCAAUCAAAACGAAAGAAACCCAAGUCAGUAUCACAUAUAGAGAUAUAAUCCAAUACAAACAUGAAAUAGCAAGAAACACUUAAUCUAGAAUCCACUAGGGUUUUGGGAUAGUUCUACCUAGGUCAAGUUCCUAAAGCUCACUAUAUGAGGUUUAGUUUCUAGAGUAAGGGUACCCGAACCAGCAGAUUCCUCAAUCCUCACCCAUUAUAGGCUCAUAUGGAUCGAGUUCAGUUCAGGGGGAUACAUUUCCCUAUGGCUGCACGGAGAUGAAAAUCUCACGAAGACAUAGGUACGGAUGUAUCUCGAAAGCGGUCCACUACCCUGCACGGAGGUGAAAACCUCACGAAGGACUAGUUUCUCGCUCCCACUUAAAGGGUCAAAUGCAAAAUGCAAAUGCAAAGUUGCCAACAUAUCAUGAUGAAAAAUCAAUGAGUGCGUAGGGAACUCAUGAAUUUUUUAAAAAUUUUGAUUUUCGACACAAAGACAAAUAUAAUUAGUUUAUGGCUCGACUCUCUCAAGCGUCCCCAGCGGAGUCGCCAAGCUGUCGAAACCGUUUUUUGAAAAACAAAAAUUUAGUUGUCGACUUUAAAAAUAAAAUUAGAGUUGUCGCUGAUCCUUUAUUAAGGUGUGAUCGGCUCACCUUAAAAAUUAUUUUGGUCUACGAAUUUUGAGAAAAUGAGUUCGGGAGUCAAUUACGUACGAGGAAGGGUUAGCACCCUCGUAACGCCCAAAAUCGGUACCAAAUUGACUAUUUGAUGUCUUGGUGUCGAAAGUUAAAAAAGAUUUUAAAAUAAGCUUGAAUGAUGAAAUUUGAAAAAGGAUAAUAAAUUGUUCAAGUCAUGUAAAGAAACCGAGUCCCAAUACAUUAGGGUACAAUUCCUCAUAAUCCCCGAACUUUGAAUAUCACUUUUAUUUUAUGCAAAAAUCUUCAUUUCGAGAAAGUAACAGGCCACACCCAAUACGUUAGGGCACAACAAGUUAAGUUCCCAAAAAUGAUUUUUAUGCUCAUGCAUUUUGAAUAAAGAAUAUUCUCGGUCAUUUAAGAUUGACAAAGAAAAUCAGAACCCAAUACGUUAGGGCUCAAUUUUCCACGAAAAUCCCAAACUUCAAAUAAUGAUUUUAUUCAAAAAAACCUUUAAAUCAAGAAAAUAACUUUGAUGAAUGGUUAAAACCAAAAUGUAUUUUUAAAAGGGUACGUUAAAAAAGUUAAUGUACAAUAUGGUACAGAUACUUUAAUUCACAACAUAUACGAAUAAAUAUUUGCAAAUAUAUAUAUACAAAUAUAACAUUACAAUAAAGUUGCAAACAUAUGUAUACAUAUAUCAAAAACACUUAUACAAGUAUACAUGCAAAUAGAAGAAAUGAAAUAUAUCCAAUAAAACAAACAAGAAACAUGUAUAAAAAUAAAAUAAAAGUAUAAAACAAAAUGCAUAUGUAUAUAUUUUCAAAAUAAAGGAAAAAUAUAUAAAAAAUAAGAAAAUAAAAUAAGGAUAUAAGGAAAAACGUAUGUAUAAAUAUAUGCAUGUAUAUAUUAUAUAAAACAAAUUCGCAUGUUUAUGGUAUUUUACGAAAAACAUUUUUUGAAAAUUAAAUUCACAAAAUAUAUGUUUUGUAAAAAAUAUGAAAGAAAAAAAGAAAAUUAUAUAUAUAAAAUGCGCAUGUAUAGAAAACCAAUAUAUGUAUAGAUAUAUAUAUAUAUUAUAUAAACGUGUGUAAAUGUAUAAGAAUAAUAGAAAAACUAAAAAAAAUUACUAAUGAAGGAUUAAAUCAAAAAGAAUCUUAAGGGCCGAAUUUAAAAUAAAAUUUUAAAAAAGGGGUCACUUGAAUGCGCGCGUAACAGUGGAGGACCAAAAAGGAAAUAUGCCCAUUGAUCCCACGGCACCGUUUCGACGCAAUCUGCAGUCCUGGUUGAUGGACCAAAUUGAAACAGACGCGAAAUUUUGUGGCAAAAUUGGAAACGUGCGAAAUACUGCAUUUAAAAUCAAAAUAAAAGAGGAAGGACCGGAUGCGCAAAUAUCCCAUAUGACGUCAGAACGCGCGGAUCCUCCCCUCCGGGUCGGGUCACCGCGCGGGUCUGGCCAUUCAAAACGGCGUCGUUUUGAUCUGUUAUUUAAAACAGAUUUUUCUUUCUAAAACCAUUUUAACAAAAUGAAAAUAAAUAAAUAAAUAAAUCCCCCCUUUUGCUCUACUAGGGUUUCACCCCUAGCGUCCUCGCGCCGCCGCUCGCCUGGCCAGCGCUUCGAUCGCGACGGAGGUGGCCACCGAUCCGGCAUUCUCAACGAAUGGGGUAAGAUCCUUUCCCUUGCUUUUAUUUCUAAAAAAACGCAAAAAGAAAAGAGAAAUAUAAAAACAACAGAAUGGAACCCGAUUCACCUUUUUAAAAACUUUGUAUUUUCAAUAUUUUUCUUUUGUAUUUCUCUGUAUCCACUCUCUGUUAUCCCCCUUUUACAAAAUAACAGUGGCUUUAUAUAGCCCAAAAACUAUUUGUUGCUUUUUAUUUUACACUAUAUUUUCGCGGAUGGACUCUCUGAGUCCGUGUUUGCAGGCGAGAGUGGAUCAAAUGGCACGCGUGGAGAGGUCAGCCCCGAGACGUGCGGCACUUGGAGAGGCUGCUGAAGGCGGGGAGGGUGCGGCGCUCGCUUGCUGCUACUGUUUUAGGUGUAUUGGGCUAGGGUUUAGGUUGGUUAGUGUAUUGGGUCUUGUUCAUUAGCUUGGGCCUGAGUGUUAUAACGUGAAAUGGGUUUUAGAUUGAGCCUGGGCCGAUUGGGCCCUAUUACAACAGUAAUAGUUUCCACUUUCCAGUAAUAGUUUCUAGUGUUCCUUUACUUUGCUACCAUAUUUCCAUAUUUGGGUUACCUGGGUUGAAUCUUCAUGUAGCUUGGGCAGUUUCUUUUAUCAAUACUGACAUACCAUUUUAGAGCCCAUAUUCCACUAUAUUGGCUUUAAUUGUUGUAAUAAUUUUAUCCAUAGAAUUGCAAUUAUAGAUAAUAUGCUAUACUAUUUUCUCCUUAAUUACGGAAAAAAUAAAUAUCAAAUUGAUUUUCCUUUUUGUACAGGCUACAGUUUGAGGUUAUUUACUUAAGCAAUUUUAUCCCACAUUAGUCAAUGUUUGAGUUUGUUCUUCAAAUAAGUUAUCUUAUUUUAUUUUUUGUUCAUUAUAUACAAAGAAAAUAUAAUUUGAUAUUUAAUAUAAAUUUAAUAACAAUUAAUUUUAAGUAAUGGGCUGGGCCGAGUCGGGCCUGGGCCUUGUACUUUUUCCCCGGGCCGAGCCUAGACAAAACUUCAGGCCCAUAUUUCGGGCCAGGCCGGGCCCGGAUCUAGGACACGGGCAAAAUUUUUUCUGGGCCCGACCCGAACCCGGCCCGGCCCAUGAGCACCUCUAAUCCAACAUCAUAUGAUAAUUUCUUAAUUUUAUAUGAUCCAAUAUCCUAAAAUUAGGUAUAAUGAUUUAUUUUUUCGUUCUUUAUUUAAUUUUUGUUAUUUUAAAUUUGUAUUAUUUAUCAAAUCACCUCAACGAAUAAAAAUGUAAUGUCAAUUAAUUUUACUGAUGUGACAUACAUGUGAAUUGUCACUUGAAUGCCACAUAAGUACUUAAUUAAUUUUUAAAAUGAUUUUAAAAAAUUUUAAAAAUAAAAUUAUAUAAAUGUUUUUCUAUGUUUUGGAAAUUUUAAGAAAUAAUUAAUUGCUAGGUGAAUGUCAUAUUAACAAAGUUAAAAGGUGUUAAUUUUUUCAUUCAUUUUAGGGUGAUUUGACAAAUAAUAAAAAUUCAAGGGUUAAAAGAUAAGGAAAAUUAAAUUAAAGGCUAAUUUUUUUUAUAAAAUUGGAGGGUUAAAUAAAUCAUUAUGCCCAUGAUAUAAUGACGAUGACUUGAAAUUAAAUAAUGUCUAUGAAACCGGUGUAGUUUUCUUGGUUUUGUAUAUAUUCUUUGGAAAUUAUUCGGCUUAUGCUCUUUUUGGAUAUGUAGUAAAGUUAAUUUUUGGUGAAACUAAAAGUAAUAAUUAUGAUGAGAUUAGUUAAUAUAGCGGUAAGAUUAAAAUUAAUAAUGUGAUAUAUGUUUGGAUUCAAACAAAAUAAUAACCAUGAUGUAAAAAUGGAAAAUGAUUAUUGAUGUCAUUAAGUUACAACUUAUGUGCCAACAACCUCUUGACUUAGUGGCAAGAAUACUAUGUUAUAGGCAUGAGAGUUUAGGUACAAUCCCAAGUAAUCUUAUACUCCACUUCCAAUUUUAUUAAAAAAAACUUAUGUAUAUGUAAAAUAAAUAAUUAAGAAAAAAAAUUAAAAUAAAAUAUGUUAAAUUAUUUUUUUGAAAGGUAAAUUCAUUAAUUUAUUCAAUGAAUGGAACCAUACAAUUCAGAGAAAAAAGAUAACAAACACUCAUCGCAGAUGGUGAAGGACAAGCGCCAUCAACACAACAAAGGCUUUAGCCUUAGCAUCAAUAGAACAUUAUGACACAUUGACAAUUGGCUUAAUCACAACUCAAGCACGACAUAUCUGGAGUGAUUGCAAGGACUUAAUAUGAUAAUGAAAUCAACCUCGGAUGGUCCAAAGUGGCGAGCAAAAAUCGACAAAAGAAUCGAGUAUUCACCAAACUAGAGAGGACGACAACAAAAUUUGUAACACCCCUAACCUGGCCCAAACGUUAUGGCCGAAUCUGGGUGUGUUACGAAGAAGGGUUUUAAAACUAUAUCUCUUAAGCUAAAUCGUAUCGUGUUAUUAGUUUACCAAUUGCAGUUUUAAUAACCGGAAAAACUUGGAUUUAAGAUCUUAUUUGAAACCAUUUUAAGUUAUCAAGAAUUUGCAACAGAAGUUUGAAAAAUGUUAAUUCGAAACCAAGCUCGUGUUUCCAAAAACCAUUUGUUAAAACCAUAUGUUUGCGUAAAGUGUUUUUGUUAACAUUGUGGAAAAGAAAGAAAAAUAAAAUCCAAAUCCAAAAGUUAAAACCAUACAGUUCAGAAAGUCCCAAAAAUUACAACUCUCACGAAAACCAGAUUUUGAAACAAAACUGAUAACAUUAAAUAAAAAUAGUUCUCAACCGAGUGGUCACCGUUGAGUCUCCGUCGCAUCGACCCACCUAAGUCUGUGGAUUACCUAAACAGAACAGACAAACAAAUGUGAGUUUUCAUAAACUCAGUGUGUAACCUAACAGAAAUAGUCAUGCAACACACACAGAAUUUCAUAUACAGUCAGAUACAGAUUCAGACCUAAGUCCAUAACAAAUACAGAUUCCCGAAUCAGAUAAUCAAAACAGAUAUAUAUAAUCCUAUCCCCUCCUCUAUACACCAUCUCUGUCUAUCCCAUCACACCAUGUGGGGUUAAAAACACCUACUCAUCCCUACACACCAUAUAGUGUCGAUGCGACACAUAACAGAUAAUAUGCAGUUAAGCUACCAGAAUGUAGGCGAAAGGUCGCCGUAUAGAUUACUUCCUACACAUAUGCAAAUCCCACCCCAAACAUAGAUACAUAAUACCAAAUUAACGGAUUUAACAUGCUUAACAUGCUCGUAUAAAAAUAACAUAUAUAUAUACUCAAACAGAACAGUCAGACAUACAUAUUAGAGUCCCACUCAGAUCAGACUAUCAGAAUACCAUAUCACAUGAAUUAGGGUUGGUUGGCCCUUACCAUCCCUAUGGUAGGCCCACAGUCGAUCGAAACGACCCGUGCGACCCUAGGGAAAAUUUCAGAAUCCUGGGCCACACGCCCAAUCUAGUCUAGCCCGUGUGGCUUACACAACCACACUUACACCAUCACACGGUCGUGUCCCGCACACGGCCACACCUACGACAUUCACAUGAUCGUGUUUAGGGUACACACCUAGUACGAUUUUGUUGUGAAAACACUCCCGAGACAACUAGAACCUAAAAUUGACAUAACAAGCUCUCAAAAUCAGUCUAAAUCCUCAAUUAAACUGAACUAACAAAUUUGACAAUGGUGAAAUUCAAGUUUUCAACACUUACCCGAUUCCUCGAACGAUUCCAACUAUAAUUCCGUAAGAGAAGAACCACGUUCAUCACGAUUCACUGCAGUCAAACCCAUACAAUCAAACUAACAAAAAGCAAAACCGACUUAAAUAAACUUUAACCAAAGCCCUCAAUCUAAGAAGAAACUCACCACUUUCCCUUACCUAAACGUAAAAAGCAAUCAGAGAUUCGUAUUAUCGCAAUUUUGGAAGGGAGAUUUUGACAAAAAUAAGGGAAAAGAAAAAAGAUUUUUGGUGGGGAAAGAAAAGUAUAACAUCAGAAACUAGAAGAGGGAGAAAUUUUUGGGAAAAUAGAAUAAAAGAAAAUAGAAAGAUUAAGUCAAAUCCCACUACAUCCACAUCCCUUAACCACUCAACUAACUCAAAAUCCCACUACCACCAAACCACUAUCAACCGCCACCGCCAAAAAUUAUCACCCACGCUCGCGCGUGAAUUCAAACACAGGACCUCCAACAAACUAAGUCCUUACCACUCGAACCAGCAGGCUCAUUCUAAUAUGAGUUUGCAAACAAUAUAAUAUAAGCCCACCCAACAAGGAUAAUGCUUGGAUCAAAAAUAACAAAAUUUGCCAAAAGGGGGACUUGAACCCAAGACCUCAUACACACACCUAUAACACUCAACCACUGAAGCAGAUACAUAUUUGUGUCAGAUUUCACAAAAAUAGAAAUAAAUUAUUCAGGGUGUUACAACUCUACUCCCUAAAAGAAAUUUCAACCUCAAAAUUUACCUAAUCCGAACAGAUAAAGAUACUACAAACUUAUCAAGUCCUUAUGUUCCCACAUGGCUUCCUCAGUGCCAUGAUUCCGCCACAGAACAUUUACCAAUGGAAUAGAAUUCCUCCUCAUAACCUUAAUAUCUCGUUCCAAAAUCUGAACUAUCUCCUCCUCAAACGUCAAAUUCGGUCUAACAUCGAUCUCCUUAAUAAAGACAAUGUGAGAUGGAUCAGACUGAUACUGCCUCAACAUUGAGACGUAAAACACAUCAUGGAUACAGUCCAACUUUGGAUGUAGCUCUAACUAAUAAGCGACUGGUCUCACACGCUUCAGAAUCCCAUACAACCCAAUAAAUCUAGGGCUCAACUUACCCUUACGAUCGAACCGUAGAAUCUUCUUCCAUAGAGAUGCCUUAAGAAAUACAAAGUCACCCAUAGAGUAUUCGAUAUCCCUCCUUUUUAGAUCCGCAUAGGACUUUUGUCUAUCAGAAGGCACCUUCAAACGAUCCCAAAUCAGUCUAACCUUAUCUUCAAUCUUGGAAACCAACUCAGGACCCAAAAUCCAUCAUUCACUCGACUCAGUCCAACAUAGUGUAGUAUGACACUUACGGCUAUAUAAAGCCUCGUAAGGUGUCAUCUGAAUGCUAAACUGGAAACUAUUGUUGUAGGUGAACUUAGCUAACAACAGAAAAUCCUCUCAGUUACCUCAUAAAUCAAUCACAAAGCUCCGAAGCAUAUCCUCCAGUAUCUAAAUCACCUUUUCAGACAACCAUCAGUCUGAGGAUGGAACACAGUACUGAAAUCCAAUCUCGAACCCAUAGCUUCAUGUAAUUUCUUCAAGAACUGAAAAGUGAAGCGAUGAUCCCUAUCAGAUAUUAUCAAAAUCAAAACCCCAUGUAGCCUCUCAACCUCAGAAAUAUAAAGCUUCGCUAACUUUUGCGAACUUUGUCAAUUGAUCCACGAUAACCCAAACAGAAUCCUUCUUAUUGGGUGUCAAGGGCAACCUACUAACAAAGUCUAUUGUCACUUGCUCCUAUUUCCAUAAUGGAAUCUUAACAGGUUGAAGCAAACCCGAAGGCAAUUGGUGCUCAACCUUAACUUGCUGGCACAUUAAAUAAUAAGCAACAAAAUCUGUUACCUCACAUUUCAAUCCCGGCCACCAGUACAGCUUACGAAGAUCCUGAUGUAUUUUAUUAUCACCGGGAUAUCUAGCAUAAUGGCUACUAUGCGCUUCCCUCAGAAUCGACUGUCUCAGAUCAGAAUCGUUCGGUAUACAAACCCGUCCUCGAAAACAUAGAACUUUAUAUUAUUCAGUCCAAAAUCAAAAGUACUGUCACUCUCAACCUAACAAAACCGCUCAUCCCCUAAAUUCUUUUUCUGGAUCUUCCCAAUCCAAGUUGGCUUAACUUGCAACUCGGCUAACAGACCCCCAUCAUUGAACAAACUAAGACAAGCGAACAUCGCUCUCAAACCAGUCAUCGCUCUCUGACUGAGAGUAUCAGCCACCACAUUGGCCUUAUCGGGAUGAUACUCUAUCUUGCAGUCAUAAUCUUUGAGUAGCUCAAUCCAUCGACGCUAUUUAAGAUUCAAUUCUUUUUUAGUAAGGAAGUACAUGAGACUCUUGUGAUCGGUGUAGAUAAUACAUCUCUCACCAUACAAAUAGUGCCUCUAGAUCUUUAACAUAAAUAUCACCGUAGCUAACUCGAGAUCAUGCAUCGGAUAAUUUCUCUCAUGUGACUUAAGCUGCCGGGACGCGUAAGCCACCACCUUAGACUAACAUGUGACGCAUCACUAUACAUUACAAACUCCUUACCAAAUUCAAGUUGUAUUAGAACAGGAGAGAACAGACUUGAGCUUCUCGAAGCUCGACUGUUGUGCAUUAGUCCAGAUGAAAGGAACAUUCUUGCAUAGAAGUUUAGUCAAAGGAGCUGUAAUUAGUGAGAACCCCUAAAAAACCUCCGAUAAUAACCCGCAAGACCCAAAAAAACUGUGGAUCUCAGAGAUAUUCUUAGGCUGUUUUCACUUAAGCAUAGCCUCAAUCAUUCUAGGAUCAACUCAGAUACCCUCAGCAGAAAUCAUGUGCCCUAAAAAAGUUACUUCUCGCAACCAGAACUCACAUUAACUCAACUUAGCGUAGAGCUAUUUCUUUCAGAGUAUCUGUAGCAUUACUCUAAGAUGCUCAUCAUGCUCAUCCUCAGUCUUAGAGUACACCAGAAUAUCAUCAAUGAAGACUACGAUAAACUAAUCCAAAUACAAUUAAAAACUCAGUUCAUCAGAUCCAUAAAUGCAAUCGGAGCAUUCAUCAAACCAAAGGGCAUAACUAAGAACUCGUAAUGCCCAUAACGAGUCCUAAAUGUCAUGUUAUGACUAUCAGCUUUCUUAACCCUAAACUAAUGAUACCCAGAAUAGAGAUCUAUUUUUGAGAAUACCACAGCCCUACAAAACCAAUCAAACAGGUCAUCGAUCCUCGGAAGUGGGUACUUAUUCUUCAUAGUCGGUUUAUUCAACUGCCGGUAGUCGAUGCACAUCCUCAUGGUACCAUCCUUUUUCUUCACAAACAGAACCGGUGCCCCCAUAGAGACAAACUAGGAUGGAUGAAACCACGAUCCAGAAGCUCUUGAAGUUGAGCCUUAAGCUUUGUUAGCUCUUUUGGUGCCAUACGGUAUGGAGCGAUAGACAUCGGAGAUAUACCCGGUAGAAGCUCAAUGUCAAACUUAACUUCUCGAUUUAGAGGUAAACCUGGUAACUCUUCAGGAAAAGUAUCUAAAAAUCCCCUCACUGUUUUAAUAUCCCCAAUAGAAGAGUCCCCAAAAACUGAAACACUGACAUAGGCUAAAUACGUCUCACACUUUUUCUGAACCAAUUUCUCAACCGCUAGAGCAGAGAUCAUAUUAGAUAGGUAAUCUCGACCCUCACUAAUUACAUCCGUUUCCUUAUCAUCCUCGGUCCUCAGAAUGACCCUUUUAGUCAUGCAGUCCAAACUAAAUCGGUGCUCAACUAACCAAUCUAUCCCCAAAAUUAAGUUAAACUCCCCAAACAGUAGCUCUAUCAGAUUUGCCGGAAACACAACUCCUUAUACUUCCAAUGAAACAUUCCUAUAAAGUCUAUUUACCCUAACAGACUGUCUCAAUAGAGUCAGUACAGUAAUCUCUCCAGAAGUACACUCAACAAAAAUCCUUAAGUUCUCGGAAACAGAACUAGCUACAAAGGACUGUGUAGAACCUAUGUCUAUCAAAACAAUAUAUGAAGCAUCAAAAAUUAAAAACGUACGCGUGAUCAUAUCAAGGGCAACGUUGUCCUCUUGGCAUCGAGCAACAUAAACUAGUGCAGGCUGCCUCACCUCAGUCUGAUUAGUAAUUUUUCCUAGUGCUCUCUGACCUUAGCCCAUACCAUUACCACUCCUAGCCGGUCUACGGUCCUUAGGUGGUUGUUUUACUGCCCUCUGAGGCUAAACAAAGUCCAGUCCUAAAGCUUGCAUCUAAUUAGCAUGAUAUGGACACUCUUUAAUUUGGUGCUCCAAAGACCUACACCGCAGACAAGCUCUUAAUCUCCUCUAACACUCACCCGAAUGGUGUCUACCACAGUCACCACAAGGCUGAAUCUUAGUAGGAGCAAUUGGAACUCCCACUCUAACAGGCCCAUCAGGUCUGGCCCAUUUCUUAGGCCUCUAAACAGAACUAGAGGGCUCUGAAUCCCUCUUAUUCAUGCCUCUCUCUUGGUCUUUAUUCUGGCACUCCACGCGCUUAACCUUCUCAACGAUCUUUGCCUUAUCUACCAAAAUAACAAACUCACACUCUCUCUGCAGAGUAAUCAGAGCGCUUAAAUUAUCCCUCAAAUCGUCUUCAAAAUGAACACAUUUCUCACACUCGAAUGCUACUAUGCCUCGAACGUAGCGGCUCAAUCUUAGAAACUCAACCUAACACUCAGUCACAAACUUAUCACCUUAAGUAAAAUUCAUGAAUUCACGCCUACGAGCGUCCACAUAACUCGUACCCAUAUAUUUUCCCUAAAAAAAAGUCUUAAAGUAGUCCUAGUUCAAACAAUCCAGUUGAGUACCCUCCUCAACCGACAACUAUCACUGAUAUACCUCAUCGCGAAGCAAAAAAAUUGCACCCUUCAAUUUCUGCUUAAGAGUGCAGUCAACGUUGUUCAUAAUCCUCUUGGUAUCCUCCAACCAAUACUCAGCCACAAUAGGGAUAAAUUUAGUGACGCCCCUAAACAAUUUAGCUCUAUUGGACCGGAGUCGUUCAAUUAUUGACCCAUGGCUUCCAAAUCCAAAAUGGGGUCCAAAAACCCUCUUCAACACUCUCAACAUGGCUUGCGACAGUGCGUCGUCCCUAGCUGAGCUGCUUUGAGACCCAGCCUCAGUAGCAGGUGAAAUCGGUGUCUCACUCAUAUCCAAAUUUGGCAUAUUGCCUAAAAAGAAAGACUCAGCUCGAGCCCCCUACGGUGCCCACCGCGCCCAUGAAUACCACGAUUGCGAGUUCCACGAGUGCUCAUCGUAUUUUCAGUUUUAUCUACAUUAUAAAAUUUUAUUCAUUUGUUCUAGUGUUUAUUAGCAGAUAUUUUAUGCUCAAGUUAUCAAAGGUACUUACAGGAUCGACGCCGAAGACUCAGUGUACGAUAUACUUACUCAAAUUGAUCCAAAUUAUUUGAAAACUAGUUUUUUUUCAAAGCAUAAUUUUGGAACCCAAAAUUUACAGCUUGAGUUUUGUAACCUGGCUCUGAUAUCACUAAAUGUAACACACCUAACUCAGCUUAGAUGUUAUGGCUGAAUCUAGGCAUGUUACAAAGAAAGGUUUUAAAAUUAUAUUUCUUAAGCUAAAUCGUAUCGUUUUAUUAGUUUACCAAUCAGAGUCUUAAUAUUAAAAAAAAUUGGGUUUAAAAAUAUAAUUUCAAACCAUUUUAAGUUAUCAAGAAUUUUGCAACGAAAGUUUGAAAAACAUUGAAUUCGAAACCAAGCUCGUGUUUUCAAAAACCAUUUAUUUACGUAAAGUGUUUUUGUCAACGUUGCGAAAAAGAAAGCAAAACAAAAUCCAAAUCCAAAAGUUAAAACCAUACAGUCCAGAGAGUCCCAAAUAUUACAACUCUCAAAGAAAUCAGAUUUUUAAAAAAAAUCGAUAACACUAAAUAAAAACAGUUCUUUGUCGAGAGGUCACCGUUGAGUCUCCGUCGCACCUACCCGCUUAAGCCUAUGGAUUACCUGAACAGAACAGACAAAAAUAGAUGUGAGUUUUCAUAAACUCAAUGUGUAACCUAACAGAAAUAGUCAUGCAACAUACAUAGAAUUUGAUAUACAGUCAGAUAUAGAUUCGGACUUAAGUACAUAACAGAUAUAGAUUCCCGAAUAAGAUAAUUAGAGCAGAUAUAUAGAAUCUACCCCCUCCUCUACACACCAUCUCCUUCCAUCAUAUCACAACAUAUGGGGUUAAAAACACCCACCCAUCCUUACACACCAUAUAGCAUCGAUGUGAUACAUAACAAAUAAUAUUAAGUUAAGCUGUCAGAAUGUAGGCGAAAGGUCGUCGUACAGAUCACUUCCUCCACAUAUGCAAAUCCCACCCCAAACACAGAUACAUAAUACAGAAUUAACAUGCUUAACAUGCUCGUAUAUAGAUAACAUAUAUAUUCAAACAGAACAGUCAGACAUACAUAUCAGAGUCCCAUUAAGAUCAGACUAUCAGAAUAUCAGGUCACGUGAAUUAGGGUUUGGUUGACCCUUACUGUCCCUACGGUAGACCCAUAGUCGAUCGGAACGACCCGUGCGACCCUAGGGAAAAUUUUAAAAUCAUGGGCCCACAUACUCGUGUGGCCCACACACCCAAUCUAGUUUAGCUCGUGUGGCUCACACCGUCACAUGGUCAUGUCUCGUGCACGACCACACCUACGACAUUUACAUGACCGUGUCUUGUACACGGCCAACCACAUGGUCGGGCACAUGCUCGUGUGGCGUCGAUAAUACCCUUUUUUAGCUUUCAUCGAACCUUAAUUUUUCGUGUUUAGGAUACACACCUGGUACGAUUUUGAUGUGAAAACACUCCCGAGACCACUAGAACCUAAAAUUGACAUAACAAGCUUUCAAAAUCAGUCUAAUUCCUUAAUUAAAUCGAACUAACGAAAUCAACAAUAGUGAAAUUCAAGUUUUCAAGACUUACCCGAUUCCCCGAACAAUUUCGACUAUAAUUCUGUAAGAGAAGAACCACGUUCCUCGCACUGUAGUCAAACCCAUAAAAUCAAACUAACAAAAAACAAAACUAACUUAAAUAAACUUUAACCAAAGCCCUCAAUCUAAGAAGAAACUCACCACUUUCCUUUACCUAAACAUACAAAGUAAUCAGAGAUCCGUAUUAUCGCAAUUUUAGAAGGGAGAUUUUGACAAAAAUAAGGGAAGAGAAAAAAGAUUUUUGGUGGGGAAAGAAAAGUAUAACAUCAGAAACUAGAAGAGGGAGAAAUUUUUGGGAACAUAGAAUAAAUUAAAAUAAAAAGAUUAAGUCAAAUCCCUUAACCAUCCAACUAAUUAAGAAUCCCACUACCAACAAACCACUAUCAACCGCCGUCGCCAAAAAUUAUCACUCACGCUCGCACAUUAAUUCGAACACAGGACCUCCAACAAAUUAACUCCUUACCACUCGAACCAGCAGGCUCAUUCUAAUAUGAGUUUACAAACAAUAUAAUAUAAGACCACCCGACAGGGAUAAGUUUUGAAAGCAUUUAAAUUUACAUUUCAAAUGAACCUGGACAAGAUUUUUUCUAGAUUCAUUUUUAAUGUGUAAAAUAAUAAUUUCUUUAUAAUUUCUAGGAUUUUUAUAUUUUUAAAACUUAGAUUAUUUUUAUAAUUAUCUUUAAUUAUUUAUAUUUUUACCAUUGAAAUAAUUUUAAUAAUUUUUAAUUUUUUUACUAUAUUUCAAAUUUAUAUCUGAAUGAAUCUGGACAAAUUUUGUUCAAGUUCAAAUUUAUUUGGACAACUAUUUAUUCAGGUUUAUUCUGGAUGUAUUGAUAACUUUAAUAAUUAAAAUUAAAAUUAAAAUUUUGAUAAAUUCAAAUAAUAAAAAUUAAAAUAUUUAUUUAAUAAUUAAAUAAACAAUAAAUAAUUUGUAGUUGGUGUUCUAAAUUAGAAAGAAGAAGUGAAAGGAAAUACAUAUGCUGUCAAAAGAUUACAUCAACAUUUGUCCACUAGAUACACUAUUGUGGCCAUUAAAUGACGUACCAUAAAAAAAUAAAAAGAAAAGAACAAACAACUCAAAAACCGAUUUAUAUAUAUUAUUUGUAUUCUUUUGACUUAAAAGCAUAAUUGAAGCUAAAACUAAAAAUAUUGCAAUGAUUUUAUAAUGUUAUUGAUAAAUAUAAUCUUUUUAGGAAAUUUUAUAUCUCAUAAAUAUAAUAUAUAUAACUCUUCAGGAUAAUUUAAUUAUCAAUUGCCGAGAAGUUUUUGCAAUCAAUUCUAUUAAAAAAUAUUAUUAUUUAAUAGGAGGAGACUUUUUAUUCUUUUAUAUUUAUGUUUUUAUUUUUUUUAAAUAAAAUUACAAUUUGCAAUUAUAAGUAAUAUAUCAGACAUUCUCUCACAUGUAUCUGCACGUGGAAACCACAAAUUUAAAACAUAAAUGUAUGUCUAAAAUAACAUAUAAUAGAUAAUGAAACUUAUGGUUUGAAACUAAUUAAUAAUAAUGCAUUAAAUAUGUACGUUAUUAGAAUAAGAAAAUUAGAUUAAUUUUCGUAUCAAGUUGUUGUCAUCAAUCUUGAGUCCUUGUCGAGUUAACUUGUGGUAGAAAUUCAUCUAUAUUAUUAUUUAAAUUCUUGACUAAGUUGGUGUCAUGAGUAAACCGGACACCAACUUGGUUAGGAAGUUAUGAGAAUACCCUUUUGUAAUUAAAAUAAGUAAUGUUAUUCGAGGCUAGUUUAGUCUUUUAACUUUAAAAAACAUUAAGAAUAAGUAUAUGGUAGGAUUCGAACCCACAUCAAUUGUAUUAAUAAAACUUUUAAUUUACCACUCAAUUAAAAUUUUAUUUUAAUAUUUUUAUACACUUUAGUUUUAUUAUGCACACUCUAUUACCUUCAUAAGUUGUAUAUCUAUACAUACUAUUAUUUAAACUCCAUACUGAGUUGGUGUCACUCUCAAUUGGGUCACCAACUUGGUUAAAAAAUUACAAGAAUGCCCUUCUUUUAUUAAAAUAAGUAAUAUUAUUUGAGAGUAUUUUAGUUUUGUCACAUAAAACAAGGAAUAAAAAUAUACAUACGGUGAGAUUUGAACCUAGGCAAAUUUUGCAUUAGUAAAACCUUUAAUUUACCACCCAACUAAAGCUUUAUUUUAAUAUUUCUUAUACAUUUUAAUUUACUAUUUAUUUAAAACACAUAUGUGUGUUUUAAAGUAACAUACAAUAAACAAUGAAAGGUAUAGUUUGAAACUAAUUAAUCAUAAUAACUGCAACACCCCAAAUUCGGUUUGAAAGUUUAAGCCAAACUUGGAGGAGUUACACCAACGCAUUGAAAACUGGUUUCUUUUCGGGAUUUUAAUUUUGAAAAUCAAAAAUUUGUUUUUGUCGAUUUACGUGAUUUUGUAGUUUCAUGUUAGAAAUUGACUGAUACUACAAAAUGACAUUAUCACAGAAAUGUUUUGCCGAACCAUGACGUCUUGUAACUUGGGUAGUCGUGAUAUAUUGCUAAGUGUUACUCACUAUGUAAUGACAUAGUUUCCAAUGGUGUUGGGAAAUCCAAUUUCUGGACAUCAUUUUCAUAAAUUGAGUCCAUAAAUAGUAAACAGGGGUUUUUGUGGAAUAAUUAUGUUGAUAUAGCAAAAUUUAGUUAAGUAAUUUUGCAGAAAAUGUGGUUAGUUAAGGCUUGAAGACUAAAUUGUAAAAAAAAAAGUACUAUAGAUUUUUAAUUAAAAAAAGACUUGGAGACUUAAAUAGAGAUUAUCCAAAGGAUCAAAUGGUAAAUAAAAAAAAUAAAAUAGAUGAUAAUGGGAUUGGAUGGUGGAUGCCAUUAGAUAAGUUAAUUAAAUAUUAGAGUUUAAUUAAUUAAGACUAAACUAACUAAUUAUGUUUAAUUAGGAUUUUUUUACAAAAAUAAUAUUAAAAAAUAGUUAAUUACAAGAAUGAGUUUGAGGAAAUUACUUACAAAAAUAAGUUGUUUGCUACAGUACAAACUGGUAUCUACAACACCACCAAAAAAAUUAGGUCAAUCAUCAUUCAAUCAUUACAUUUUUUUUAAAAAGAAAUUUGAUUGGUUUCAUCACUAUAUUAAGCCACACCAAUUUAUAUAUUUUUUAAAAAUACUCAUAUUUUCACAUAUGUAAACGGUGAGAGAAAAAAUAAAAAAAAUUCUGAAUGCCACCAAUGUCUCAAACGUCACCCUUUCAAUUUUUUUUUUUAAAUGUCUGACAUCAUACGGUGCCAUUUACGUACAUGAUUUUUUACAUUUACUAGUGGGGGAUAACGCUCCCUUUCCUGCCUUCAAAGAUUUGCUAAGAGUUAUUGGUCAAGGGUUUUUUUUUUAAUCAGUUUUUUUUAACUUCAGCUGUUUGUUUUCAUGAUAGAAUUUUUUUGAAUUCAAAAGGAUACUGUCUGACACAUUUACGGUACCUACUUAAAAAAUAAUGUUUUUCACUUUUUCUUGCAUCAAGUAUAUUUGUGAGAAUACAACUAUUUUUUAAAAAAUAUAUUGGUGUUGCAGCACCAAUAAAAGAUUUUUUUUUAAAAAAAACAUAAUGAUUGACUGAUGAUUGACCGAAAGUUAGGUGGUGUUGCCGGUGUGUCAGGCGGCACCAGUUUGUAUUGUAACAAAUAACUCAUUUUCGUAAAUAAUUUUCCCCAACUCAAUUCUGUGAUUAAUUAAUUUUUAUAUUAUUUUUAUAAAAAACGGUGAAUUACAAAGUCAUCUUCUCCUUCCCCAGAGCUAUCGUCCAAUUUUAGAAGAGAAAAGAAAGCUUUAAAGCCUAACUUGAUACUCAGCCACCUAUUUGAGUAAGUCUCUAGCCAUUUUUUCUUUGAUUUUUAUAGAAAUUGAAUAAUGAGAGCUUGAUUUAGCUAACCCAUGCAUCAAUUUCCCUUACUUCAGUUUAUUCGAUGAUGCACUUCGAUGCCAAUUUGUAACAUUCUCGACCCGGUUUAGGAGUUUCAACUAAGUCGGAGGCGUACAUUUGAUCACCGAGGUGAUCAUGUAAAGCCAUUCUUUUUGAAGUGUUGAUUUAUAUGGAAAACUCUCUUUUGUCUUUAGGAAGAACAUUCAUUAAUUUAAAUUGGUUUUACUUAACAAUUCAAUUAUAAUAUUAUUAAUGUGAAGAUUUAGGAAAAUGAGGUAAAUUUUUUAAUAAAGGACUUAUCAAAAGCUUUUAGUAUUUUGUAAAACCAGGGAAAACAUUUAAAGUAGUGGUUUUCUAAACUGAAAAGCAUGCAAAUUUCAGAGUAUUAACUAAGUGUCAUGCUUUAAAAUAAAUAAGCUAAACAACUUUACCCUAAAUAUAAAAGCAAGAAAUAACUAACAAUUACAACCCAAAAAUAAAAGAUUUGAAGAAAACUUUAAUAAAAACUUUAUAAUAAUAAUAAUAACAAAAAAUUAGUUGUUAUUCUGAGGUUCCUUCGAUGCCAUAUCGAGUUGUAGUUUCUUAUGUUACCUAAGAGGAAAAGAAAGGGGGAAUGAGCUUACAACCACUCAAUAUGAAACUAGCUUAUAAAUCAUUAUAUAUAAUUGCACAAAUAGAAAAACAUAGAAAUAAUAGCGAGUUAAGUAUAACAUUUGGAGUACAUAGUAAAUCAAUGUAUAUACAGUUUAUGUAUGAUGCAAUGCAAAUCCAAAUUUCCCACCCGUUUAUUUUAUCCGCCCUCAAGCAUCGCUCGCCACACCUAAAACACAUAUCAAAGACUAGCCAUCCCUGAUUUCCCGAUGAAGAUGGUCAUUUACAUGUCAUUUGUGAUGAUGAAUUUUACUACAAUAACUUACUAUCCUGGUUGUCUGAUUUUGAUAGUUUUUUACUACGAUAAACUAUCAUCUCAGUCGUCACGGUUUAGGAUUAGUUUUCAUUUUGCUAGGGAUACUAGUGCCAACAUUGGUUUGCAACAUGUGGAGAAUUUGGUCUAGCUGGCCUUGCAUUUGACGCACUGUAGUGUGCAACAAACGUAUCCCUUCUUCAAGUUUACUAACCUUAACGGUCAUAGGGGGUCAUUGUUAAAAGUAGGCUUCCUCUUAAGGUCUUGGGGUUUAUAGGCUUGUAGAGGUUGGUAAGGAGGGGCUGGUCUAUGGUGGUUGAAGUUUCCCACACCUUGGUUUCCUCCCCACCUAAGGUUGGAAUGAUCACACCACCUUAGAUUAUAGGUAUUUGAGUAUGGGUUACCACCCCUAGUUCCCAUAUAGUUCCCCUCAACCUAACUACCCUCUUGGUGAUUUCUCUAAGUAGCUUUUCAUUUUUGCCCCCUACAUGAGAUCCCAUAAGAUGGUGUUUGUUAGGAUUGAGGCAUAUUAGAGCUAAUUUCGAGGUUAUUAAACCUCUAGAGGAGUUGCCAUUGACUGCAUUCACAGUCAGUGAUUUAGCUGUACAUGUGAAUCGCUUAAUCGACCACAUCUAGGAGUUCAUUGCUAAAUGUUUAAUGGGUUGGCAACCUUUAGCGUAAGUUUUAGACAUGAACGGCCCCGCAGAUGCUCCUUCUAAGCUUGACCUCAAAUUCCUGUCCAAACCAUUAUAGAAAGUUUGUAAUUACAACCAAUCUUGUAGACCAUGGUGAUGACACUUAUCUAGUGUUACUUUGAAGCACUCACAUGCCUCAUACAACAAUUCUACCUCCAAUUUCCAGAAGUUGGUGAUAUUCAUUCGCAACUUCAUCUUUUUGCUCAGUGGGAAAUAUUUGGUGAGGAAUUGGUUGGCUAGCUCAUCCCACAUAGCGAUAGAAUUUAUUAGCUGCGAAUCCAACCAUAUAAAAGCGUCAUCACACAAAGAGAAAGGGAAUAACCAAAGGCAUAUAACGUCAUUGGAUACCCUGUUAUACUUAAAAGUAUCACAAAUGGUUAGAAAAUGUUAAAGGUAUUGUUGGGAUCCCCAUGCAUUGAGCCCCAGAAAUAGAGAUAACUUUGUAUCAUCUAAAUCCUAGCCGACUUGAUCUCAAAAUUGUUGGCAUUAAUGGCAGUUUGGUUGAUACUCCUCGCACAACAUCCAAGUUUGGCAUGAUAUAAUCUUUCGAUGUACGGUUCGCCAUUCGUCUCGAUCAGAUAGGGGUUCGUGUUUCUCUAUGUUCAGAGGGCCUAGAGGUGGAUAUUCAAAUAAAAGAUUGUCAAUCGGUGGAUCAACAAUCAGUGAUUCUAUCGAUAGGUGACCCUCUCUUGAGGGUUGUCCUCAUCUUGCGUUGGAUAUUAUCUUUUCCGACUCGAGAUCAAAUGAGAUUAAAUCUUUGUUGCUCCAAGUCAUACAUUGAGAAAUGCAACCACAAGAAACACGGGUUAGUCAUGAAAUUAACUAAACAAAUAAAAAUAGAAAUACACAAAGAAGUAAAGCGCCGUAUUUAUAAACCUAGAUUUCACCAAUUGUCUUCCUGGCAAAACAUGAGAAAAUCACAACAAAUCAACUCAUCACACACACAUCUCCCAAAAACUUGAUUGCGCCACAGCGUACGAACUCCUAGCAAAUAAUUAGCACAAAAUAUAAGAAAUUAAAAGUGACUUGACUGCAAGUGUGAUAGGUCAAUUGUAAUAUUUGUAAGUGUUAUAAUGGAACACUUUGAGCUUUCCAAGGAUCAAACCCAAGAGAGGUCAAAGUUAAUUACGCUAAACUACCCUAAGGAGGACUAAAUUGAAUAACAAUAAAAAGUAUACAAAUAUAAUUCAAUGAGAUAAAGUGGUCGGUUGAUAUCCAUAUUUCUAAUUAAUUCUUGGAUUAGGGAUAUAAAUUGCUCAAACUCCUAAUUAGUCCAAUUUUACCUCUCGAUUACCAUUUUACCUAAUUAUACGAUUUAGUCUGAUUUAUCUCCCGACCUCACUAAACUAAGUCGGGUCAAUCAAAUUGGCUCACAAUAGGAUCUCCUUUCGGUCUCACCUAUCCAAAUGUUCACGUAGAGGCGUCAAUUCUAGGUUUUGAAAUCUAUUCAAUUUAAUCCGAUUUUUAUGAUUUACUCUUUGACCCAAAAAUUAACCAUGCAAUAUUUCAAUCAACCAACCACCAUAAAACUUAGUUACUACUCAUCAUCACAAGACAAAGACCAACCAAUUUCAAGCUAAAAUGAUUGGUCAAAUAACCACAAAAAGAUAAGUUUUAGAAAUGUUUAGUGACUCUUGAAGGAUCCUUUGAUGAGGAUGAUGACAACAAGAAAGAUGAUAAAUCUACAACCAAAUAUGAUUUUUUUUUUUUUUUUUGAAAACUAACAAGAAUAAAAUCUGUUGAAUGUUUUAAAUAGAAGUUGAAAAUGACAAGGUUGAAAAUGACAAGGUUGACUAUUGUAUCUACUUGGAAAAAAAAAAACUAAAACUACAGUAAAAGUAAUGACAAGGUUGAAUAUUGUGUCAGAAUUUAAUGCAUGAGUUAAAUAAAUGUUCCUUGAUAAAAGAAAUCCGUGAAAAAAUCAAUUGAAAAAAAGAGUCAAAUCGGUUUAACUUUAUAUGCAUAAAUUGACUUCAUUUGAUUUUAAAUUUAACUUCAUAUAUAUAUAUAUAUAUAGUUCAAUCUUAUUAGUCCGUUGUACCCAAAUAAAUUCUUUAUAUAUAUAUAUAUAUAUAAAAACUCAAUGAGUAUUUAUAACCUUAGUUAAAGAUUUAAGAUUUAAUAUCUUUAGCCAGUUGAGUCUUAAUUUAAUUGAUAUGAGUAUUAUUAUCAAUGCAGGAGAAUGUGAAUCCGAAUAUGUUAAAACGCAUUAUUCUUCUAUUUAUGGGUGGAGAGGGACUAUAGGUAAUUUUAAGUAUUAUCUUAAAAAAUAUAUAUAUGAUCAAAAUUUAUAAUAAGAUUAUUCAAAAAAAUGAGACUUAAGAUCCUUAAAAUUCACUACUAAUAAUUUUGAUCUGUUUAGCAAAAAAUAUUUUGUUUAUUAAAAUUUUCAAAAAUGUUUUUAUUAUAUUUAUAUAUAAGAAUAUUUGGUACAUCACUAUGGAUGAAACAUGCCAUUUUUCAAUUUUUAUUUACCCAAAAUUAAUAUUAUUUUUCAUAGUUUUUAAAUUGAUUCCUUAAAGAUUUUCUAAAAUCCUAAACAGGGCAAAAUUCCAUUAAAAAAAAUCCAAAAGAGAGCGGCUCAAAUAAGUAACAAAAAGAAUUGAUUAUUGAGUAGGAUUAAAAGUAGCAUGACAAACAUUUUUUUAUUAAGUAAAAUUUUAUAUCUAAAUAAGUUAGUAUUUUUAAAUAAUAUAUAGAGUCAUAGCAGUCUUACUUUACACUGUUAUUUCCUAAGAAAAUAAUUUCGGUGAUAAAAAGAUUGGUCAUAGAGACUGCAGGGGGAUUGAGGACUUAAAAUUCUGUCAAGUGUAUGUCAAAAGCAAAGAAAAGAUUUAAUAUCACUCAUGCCCUCAAACAUUAGGCAUCAAUCAUUUUCAUCCUUACAUUUCAAUCAAUGAAGAAUAAACCAGAAGUAUAAACUCAAUUUUAACCUUUUCUAUAUACAUUACAUAAGAUAACAUUAAAUCAAGUACAUUUUUUUAUUAACUACUGUAAUUAUUUCUUUUUAAACACAUUUCAUAUUAAAGUAAUAGUUAAGAUUUAAUUUAUACAUUACAUAAGAUAUUAUACAUUUCUAAACAUUUAUCUAUUAAUAUUUUACAGACAUAACAUUUCUUUUAAUCUAUUUCCAAUUCUCAUGCAAUGGGUCCUACAUUCACUUUGUUUUCCAUAUUUGUUUUCUUGAAUUUAAGUUCUCCUUUUUUGUAUUUCUCAUGCACUUUGUUUUCUUGAAUUUAAGUUCUCCUUUUUUGACUUCAAAUAUCACCACUAUUUUUCUUACCUAUAAAUACAUGCAACAAUUGCACUCUUAUCCUCACACAAAUUCUGUGCCAAAUUUCAAGAGCAAACCAAAAAAAGGCUGCAAUUUCAGCUUUUCAAUAUUUGCUUUUGAUCAAUCGAAAUGGCUUCACAAGAUUCUCAAAUGCCUUCUUCAUCACCCCUUUCUUCCAAUAAGGAUGAAAUGCGUCCCAAAGCCGAUUUUCAGCCUAGCAUUUGGGGAGAUCUCUUCCUCAAUUGUCCCGACAAGGUAUACAUACAUAUCACCAUAUUGAUAUAAUCUUAACAUAUUAUUUGUUUAAUUAUUUAGUGAUUCAAUGUGAAGAAAAUUUUCAUUAUUUUGAGCAGAAUAUUGAUGCUAGAACUGAAAAACGCCACCAACAAUUGAAAGAAGAAGUGAGGAAGAUGAUUGUGGCACCAAUGGCUAAUUCAACCCAAAAGUUAGCCUUCAUUGAUUCAGUCCAAAGACUGGGUGUGAGUUACCAUUUCACCAAGGAGAUCGAAGAUGAACUAGAGAAUAUCUACCAUAACAACAAUGAUGCCGAGAACGACCUCUACACCACAUCUCUUCGAUUCCGACUACUCCGAGAGCAUGGAUACAAUGUUUCAUGCGGUAAUUAUUGGAACAACAACAUAGUGUUUUUAAGUGUCUAGAGAAUAUAAUAGCAUGGAAUGUUUGAUAACGAUAUUUCAUUUUGGGUAAUUUCAUCUCAGACGUAUUCAACAAGUUUAAAGACGAGCAAGGGAAUUUCAAGUCAUCCGUGACAAGCGAUGUUCGAGGAUUGUUGGAACUUUACCAAGCUUCCUAUUUGAGGGUUCAUGGGGAAGAUAUAUUGGAUGAAGCAAUUUCUUUCACCACCAACCAUUUAAGCCUUCCAGUAGCAUCUUUGGACCAUCCUUUGUCCGAAGAGGUUUCUCAUGCUUUGAAACAAUCAAUUCGAAGAGGCUUGCCAAGGGUUGAGGCAAGGCACUAUCUUUCAGUAUACCAAGAUAUUGAGUCCCAUAAUAAGGCUUUGUUGGAGUUUGCUAAGAUCGAUUUCAACAUGUUACAAUUUUUGCAUAGGAAAGAACUAAGUGAGAUUUGUAGGUAUGUUUUGUUAAUCUCUUUCACCCAUUUUUUUUUUCUUUUUCAUCUUUUUUUAAUUUUUUGGUGGAAGGGGGGUUGAAUUUAUAGGAGGCAUCAUUCUCAGUAUAGGAUACGAGUUGCAAAUGCUAAUAUUUGAAUCUUAUUAAAUAGCACAAGUUAAAAGUGAUGGCAUGAACCUUAGAUUCAUCUUUUUCACCAUUUUCAUUUUAACCUUAGAUUCAUCUUUUUCACCUAUUUCAUUUUACUUAUAUAAUUUUUAAAAUUUGAGGUUCCCAAUUGACUUAAGAGUUUAACAAUUUACUCAUUGACAACAUGAAUGUGGAACUAAUUAAAACUUUGUAUGGUCAUUGCGUUAAUGGGGUUUUUUAUAAUAUGAUUUUUUAGGUGGUGGAAGGAUUUAGACUUUCAAAGAAAGUUGCCAUAUGCAAGAGAUAGAGUGGUUGAAGGUUAUUUUUGGAUCUCGGGAGUGUACUUUGAGCCCCAAUAUUCACUUGGUAGAAAGAUGUUGACAAAAGUGAUAGCAAUGACAUCUAUUGUAGAUGAUACAUAUGACUCAUAUGCAACAUAUGAAGAGCUCAUUCCCUAUACAAAUGCAAUUGAGAGGUUAGAUUUCUUUAAUUUUGCUAGUAAUAGGUUAGGUUUUUUUUGUUCAAGUGAACAUUCAAGUAUAUAUUACGAGGAAUGAUCAAAUAUAACGUUGAGGUUUGAUUCAGGUGGGAUAUCAAAUGCAUAGAUGAACUUCCUGAAUACAUGAAACCAAGCUACAAGGCACUAUUAGAUGUUUAUGAAGAAAUGAUACAAUUGGUGGCUGAGAAUGGGAGACAAUAUCGUGUUGAGUAUGCGAAGAAUGCGGUAUGUACAUUUGCAAACAUUUAUUUUAUACAAAAGAGAUAAGAUCUUAGCUAAAUUCUAGAUUUGAAUAAACAACUAACUUGAAUAACAAUAUAUAAUCAUUUAAAUAUUAUUAUUGAAUUUUAAUUGAUAUUAGUGAUAAUUGUUGGGACUUUGUUGUCUUAGAUGAUACGACUUGCUCAAUCUUACCUUGUGGAGUUCAAAUGGACUCUUCAAAACUACAAACCAUCAUUCGAGGAGUUUAAGGCUAAUGCAUUGCCAACUUGUGGUUAUGAAAUGCUUGCUAUUACAUCUUUCGUCGGCAUGGGAGAUAUUGUAACGCCAGAGACCUUUAAAUGGGCAACUAAUAACCCUAAGAUCAUUCAAGCUUCCACAAUUAUUUGUAGGUUUAUGGAUGAUGUUGCUGAACACAAGGUAUAAUAAUAUAUUUAUAUGAUCACAAGAAACCGAACUCUUAGCUCAAUAAUUGAAUGUCUUUGUAGCAAAAUUAAAUGAUGGUUUUUAUCAUGAUCUGAAACAAUUAAAGUUUAAUGUUGACAUAUCAAAUGUUUAGUCUUAAAUCGAAAAAUAAGAAAAUAAAUCUAGUUUCAUUUUAAACAAAACUAUAUUAAAUAUAGUUUAAUAAUAUGAUAGGUUUUAGGGUAUAUAGUGAUAGAAUAAUUUUGAUUUUAUUAUGGUUGCAGUUCAAGCAUAGAAGAGAAGACGAUUGCUCAGCAAUUGAGUGUUACAUGGAAGAAUAUGGCGUAACAGCAGAAGAGGCAUAUGAUGUAUUCAACAAGCAUGUUGAGAGUGCGUGGAAGGAUGUAAAUCAAGAGUUUUUGAAACCAACAGAAAUGCCAACAGAAGUUUUGAAUCGUAGUCUAAACCUUGCAAGGGUGAUGGAUGUGCUUUACAGUGAAGGAGAUGGCUAUACAUAUGUUGGAAAAGCAGCUAAGGGUGGGAUUACUUCAUUGCUGAUUGAACCAAUCGCAGUUUGAAAUUAUAUUAAAAUUUCCUCUUCAAGCUUUUUCCUUAAGGAAUAAAUAUUAAAUUUUAAGUAAUAAUGUUUUAUAAUAUUCAUACAUAUCAUAUAAAGAAAAAGUCCAAAUUGAUUAGAUUUGUACUCAAUACCUUAUAUUAAUCCAAUGAAGUUUUUUCUACCUUUUUACCAUCAAAGUCCUGCUCUUUUUUCAAGAAAAGCUUUCUUCUGUUUCAUAUUUUCUUUUCUUUUAAUUGUUUAUUUAUUUAAUGGCAUUCAUGAAUAUAUAUAUAUAGUAUGAGAAUAGGAAGAAUAACAAAUAUCAUAAAUGGGAUCAAAGUAGGAAAAAGAAUCCAGUAAAAUUACCACUUAAGAGAUAGGUUUUCCUUUAUUCAAAUUUACAAUUUACUAAUAUCAAAUAUGAAAUGCCCACAUUAAUUAACACUCAUCUAAUUUGUAGGUAAUUGUAAAUAAUAAAUAGUCUAUUUCAAUGUAGUAGUUGUUUGAAUGAUAUGAUUGGAGAAGAAUGUGAAAUCAAAUACUCAAUUGAAAAAAUCGUUUCAUUUAAUUCCCCACUCAUAAAUUAAUUAACAUAAUGAAGAAAGUAAUAAAUUUCUCGUUCAAACAUUAUAUCCCCGACAUUGACAAAACAAUAAAAAGUAACCAUAAAAAAUAAAAUGAAAAAAAAAGAUAAUAUUUGUGAAAAAUAUUAACCCCCAAAAGGAAAUAACUAUAUAGCAAUAGAAAAUAUAAUCUACUCUAAUUUGUCGCUAUAACUUUGGAGUGUGAUCUUGUCGUGCUCUUCCUCUUUGUUGGCCUAUCUACCACCGUUGUUUCCACUUUCAGCGAUGUUUUCUUCUUUAACAUAACUUUAUCUUUCGAGAUUGCAUACAAUAAAGGUUCACCUUUCAAAUAGACUUUCAGGCCUUGCCUCAACGAGCUCACCUAGCCAAGCAUACCUUUGUCUAUUCAAGCCUUUCCAUUACUAGCCCACCCUUUAGAAUUGACUCUUAAGCUCACCUUUUUAAUCUUGUUAAGAUCAUGAAAAAGUUACACCAACAAAAUACCUACCCGUCCAUCAUCUCCUUUUUAGGCAUGCCAAAGACAACACAUCACAUCAUCAUCGAAAGGAGAGCACCUCGCCAAAAAAAGUUCUCGGGAAAAGCCACUUUAUAACCUCUUCCUCGACUUUCAAAGGAAAAUUAUUAUACUUAAACACCUCGCUAGGUCAACCAAUUUUAUCUAGAAGGGCUCGCCCAUGAAAGGGCUUGCCAAAUUCAAGCUUUCAAUUAUCUCCUUACAUGUGCCACUGUCAAAUCAAGUCCCAGUGCUGAGUCUCAUUAGGGCCUACUCAGAGGUCCUUUCUACCACAUCCUAGUAGGACCCUCCAUAACUUUAGUACAAACUCCAUACACUACCACAUGUCAUUGCCUGACAGGGCUUUUUUGGCCUUACGACUGAGCCUGAGGUAGACCACCAUCACAAUAAGCUGUACACAAACCUCUAUAUGAAGUUACCUCUUUCUCUAAGAAGAGGUAUAUUCAUUUUCCAUAAUAACCUUGUCUAAGUUCAUUCAUAACUCUAGAUAUCUCCAAACCUAUUUACUUCCUCUAGUGGUUCUUAGCAUGUUGGUGUGAAUUACACUCACUGUAAACCCAAUCUCCUUUAAUGGUUCUCAGUACUUUAGUAUUAACAUCCCUAGGUACUUCCAUUUUUGAGUCAUAUAAGACAUUGUCUUCUUCUUCAUUGGAGCUAUCGUUAUUUCCACCACCUCUUUCAUCAAAGAUACUUCAGAAGUUUAAAUGCAAAAAAAAAAAAAAAUUGUCUAGCUAUACUUUUUGUGCCAUAGUCCAACUAUGGUCUUACACAUACAUUGUCAUGGCCCUACCAUGGUCUUACAUUUGUAGUGCCAUAACCCAGUUAUGGUCUUAUUAUCAGAAUGUCAUAGCCCAGCUAUGGUCUUACACAUGUAUCUAUAUUGCCAUGGUCCAACCAUGGUCUUACGUUCAAGGUGCCAUAACCCAGUUAUGGUCUCAUUAGAAAGCUAUAGCCCAGCUAUGGUCUUACAUAUAAACACUGCCAUGGUCCAACCAUGGUCUUACGUUCAUAGUGUCAUAACCUAGUUACGGUCUUAUCCCUCAAUUCAUCCUUUGCCACAGAACGAUUGUACUCAAUCCCGCAUUCAAUCCAAACUGAGUAUUAAAUUCAAUAAUAUAUUUCUAAUAAUAAUUCAAUUCCAACAAUUGAACACACAUAUAUAUAAUAUCCAUCACCAAAUAUCAUUCACUUUAAUCAAAAUUAUACAGAAUAUAGUUCAUACGAACUUACUAGCCUAAAUUGCAUAAAUACCAAUAUACAGAGGCAUUUUAGUAAUUUUCCAUUUUCCUCGAUUUUCCACUCAAUCUUGAUCUAAAUUAAUAUUUUAUUCAAUUUAUUAAUUUAAAUAAUAAAACAAUUUAUUUCAUACAAUUUGGUCAUUUUUGACAUUUUUACAAAAUUACCCUUAAAAUUUUACUUUUAUUCAAUUUAGUCUCUGAAUCUAAAACAUGCAAAUUAGUCAUUUUUAAUGAAAACUCAUGCUAGUUGAAUAUUCAUAUAUUUUCCUCCUCCUCCUCUCCAUUCCACAUCCUUAAUGUAUAUAUUAUGCUUAUAUGUAAUAUUAUCUAUAAUUCUACUAUUUACUUAUGUUCAUAUCAAAGCUGUCCACUUGAAUCACGGUCAAUAAUUUAUUUAUAUCUCGAGCUAUAGAAUUCUAAAUUAAGAUUCGCUUGAUGUUUUUGAAACUAGACUCAAAUAUCUUUCCACCAUAAAAUUUUUAGAAUUUACAGUUUAGCCUAUAAGUACAGUAAAUGCUUCAAAUUUAUCCCUAUUCUGCUGUUUGAUAGCUUUGACCUUUGCUUGCUAAAAAUUAAUUAUCUCUUAGUAUGGUGUCUGAAUGAUGUUUCUGUUUGUUUCUCUUGAAAAUAGACUCAUCAAGAAUUUUAAAAAAUAAAUUUAAACCCCUAAUUAUUUUUUAAAAAAUUUUGAUGAUUUUCCAAAGUCAGAAUAGGGGAACCCGAAAUCAAUCUGACCCUGUCUCACAAAAAUUCAUAUAUCUCUUAAUAUGAAAUUCUUUUGCUUACAUCGUUUCUUCCAUGUAAAACAAGACUUAAUAGGAUUUAUUUUAAUACUUUAAUUAACCUCUAAUUCAAUUUCUACGUUUUUUGGUGAAUUUUCAAAGUCAGACUACUACUACUGUCCAAAACUGUUUUAGUGUAAACUGUUGAUAACCAAAUUUAUAACACCCUCAUUUCCUUUCUCUACAAUAUUUCCCAUCACUUCCUCUUAUUUCCCUUUACUAGAAUAUCAAGAACAUAGAAUCUUAUAUAAUAAAACUCUACUUUACCAUCAAUUUCAUACUUUUUCAAUAAUAUCAAACUAAAAAAUAUAUUGAAAUCUUGAGGUUCUUACCUUGUCCUAUUGAUUUCAAUCUUUAACUUAAUUUUCUCUCUCCUCCAGCUUCUAUUUCUUGAAUCUAACUUGAUACUCUAGCUCCCCAUUGUCUCCUUAUUAUUUUUCUCUCUUGGUAGCUAUGGAAAUUCUUUUGAUUUCUAAGUGAAAAUGGUGAAUUUUUGGUAAAAUGACCAAAUUAUAAAGAAAAUAAAUUUUCUUUCUUUCAUUUUUUUUUCUUCUCACGUUGGAGGCAUGAAAGAUGAUAAAUUCUCUUCAUCUUUCCUCCCUUUUAUAUUAAUCAUUUAAUAAUAAAAUAAUACUAAGAAUCUAAAUAAAAUAUUAAUUAAACAACAUUUAUCUAAUUAAUUAAUUAAAAAUAUCACCAACAUCAUCAUUACCUUUUAGAGUUCUCUCUCUUUCUAAUUGACCAUUUUGCCCUUCAUGAUCUUUUAAAAUUCCAUCAUUGAGUCAUCACUUAAUUUGGUAAAAUUAUGAUUUAGUCCAUCAUAAUUCUUCACCUAUUCAAUUUGGUCCUAAUUCAUCCAUUUUCCUUAUUUUCUAGAUCAUUCCACCCUUAAAAUAUUUUCACUAUUGGUCCUUGAACUUUUUCAUAUUUACACUUUAACCCCUCAAUUUUUGAGUAUUUACUCUUGGGCAACAAAACUUUUCUCACUUUUGCGAUUUAAUCUUUUCUUGCAUUAAUAUGUCAUAAUAUACUUCCCAAUGUUGACAUAACUCAAAAUUUCCCUUUUUGUCACUUUAUUUCCUUAUUUUACUAUAUCAAGGAUACUAUAUUACUUUAUUCCUGUAGUAAUUUUUGGGGUAUUACAAGGACGGACCAACUAGGAAAUUAUUCCCAGGCCCGCAAACACACCGUUCCAUGAGCGACUGAAAAGAAACAAAAUCACUGGGCAAAAAUUAAAAAAAAAGAAAUAGGACUAGAUUGAAAAACAAUUAAAAAGCAGAAGGACUGAAGUAAAAAUUAGACCCUUUCUUAAGAAAACAUGCGGAUCUUGUUUGUAUUUAGGUCAUAUUUCAAAAUGACGUCGUUUUGGGGCUAUUGAAGCUAGCUUUAAACGACGUCGUUUAGCCUCGCCUAUAUAAGCCAAAUUUUUUUUAAAAAAAAUCAUUAUGUUUAGUUUUUCUUAAAAAAACUGAGUCUUUUUUUCUCUCUCGGUUUUCCACGUCUGCCCCUGGCGCCGGCGAUGAUUUCACCGUUCCCGGUGGCUAGAAUCUACGAGCAACCAUUUUUUGGCCGUUACGGCUUCUUGAGCCCGAAUCCGGGGUCAGUACUUUCCAAAACCCAACAAAAAAAUAAAAAAAAAUCUAAACAGCCCCUUGGUUUUCUACGCCGUGGUCCUUAGACAAAACAGAAGUGACUUGGAGGUCUCAUCGAAGGGAGCCGUCCGUCAUCACGGACGGAGUCCUCGUCUACUCGCGGCGGUGGAACAUGAAACGACUCAGUAAGUUUUUUUGAUUUUAUGUUUUAUGUUUUUUUUUCUAAAAAUAACAGAUAAAAAAAAUGAAGAAAAUCACCUUUAAAAAUGUUUUCUUUGUAUUCUGUUUUUUUAUUCCUUUUUUUCUCGUAAAGAAAUACAUAAAAGUCAUGGCUUUUAUAGUCGAAUUACACUCUCUUUUUUACUGUUUUUCUACUGUUUCUACUGUUUUUUCUUGGGUGUUGUGCUUCUGUCCUUGUUCUGCCUUUUUUGCAAGUGUCCCUAGUCGACGGCGACAACUGGCAGAUGAGGUGUCAAACCUCAGGCAACAAAACCGCUGGUAAAGCAGAGGCGGCGGCGCGCUGGCUAAGGAUUCUGUCCUUCUGAAAAUGUUUGUUUUUUGGGCCACUGGGCUCGCUUUUUACAUUUGGGCUUGUAAUAUUUUUAUUUGGAUUUGUAAUUUUGUAUUUAUUUGUAAAUUAGGCUUGAGCGAAAUUGGGUCAUUAUAUUGUACAUGUAAAAUGUUUUGUGGGUUAACUGGUCGAGUCAAGUACAGACGGCUACCAAAAGAAGAUGUGUUAAAUCAAAGGAAAAUAAUCAAGCGAAUUUAUAAUUUUAACGAAGAUAUUGUUGGUUGAAAUUUUUAAGUAUUUUGUAUUUAUAUUUAAAUUUUAUUAUAUGUAAUUAUCAUAUUUAGAUCUUUAGUUUUAUAAUGCGUCGUUGUUAAGUGUAUAUUUUUGUCCAAUGAAUCAAUUUUAGUUUUAAUUAUUUUAAUUUUUAAUGUAUUUUAUAUUAAUUUAAUUCUAUUUUAUAAUUAUCCCAAAUGCAUUUAUAAAUAUACUAUAAUCACAAUAGAAUUUAUAAUUUCAUAUCGUUUUUUUUAAUAUUAGUUUUAUAUCCUAACACAUCAUGAAUUUAUCAUUAAAUUUGUAUUAUACUUAUUUUAUUAUUGAAACUUUGAAUAUGAUUGUUUUAUAGUUGUGAUUUCCUUUUUUAACAUGUCAGGUUUAGAGAAUAUAUAUAUAUAUAUAUAUAUAUAUAUAUAUAUAUAUAUAUAUAUAGAAUAUUUAAAUUUAUAUAACCUGUCAGUGCAGAAAGAUGUGGGUUUGAGUGUGUUAAAACAUAUUGUUCUCUUAUUUAAGGGCUAGAAAAGGAUUAUAGGUAAAUCUAGGUAUUAUAUAAAAAAAUAGUUGAUUUGGAAUUAAUAAAAAUGUAAACUUAACUAUUCAUAAGUUUAUUAUCAAUUAAUAAAAAUUAAUUCUAAUAAUUUUUUUUUUCAUAUUUUUAGUAAAUUCAUUUUAAAAAUCUAGAGACUGUAAAGUCAAUCAGUAGAGCACAUGCUUGUUGGAGAUACUUUAAUUCUGGGAUAUCAAUGCCAUUAGUAAAACUACGCAUGCAGAAUAAAAUAUUAAAAAGAAAUAAGAUAUUAAUUUUAUUGAUAACUUUGAAUUAUAAAUAUAGACGCCAUUGCUGAAAUUUGCUUACUCUGAAUAUUUUUCUUCUCAAUUCUAAUGUAUCAGAAAAUUUUAAAUGAUGGGUUUUGAAUAUAAAUUUCUAGUAUUCACUGAAUCAUACAACUAUGGAGUACUUACAAUUCAAAUUGAAAAUAUUGUGAAAAAUAACUUAUUCAAAUAGUCAAGCCUUCUUAUUGUUAAGUUUUUUACUAUUAUAAUGGUACUACAUUUACAAAUAUAAAGACAUGUUUAAGUUUUAUCUUUUACAUAAAUGAUAUGAUUCCAUUCAUGGAAUGAAUGGUGACGACUUAAAAUACUAGAGGUCCAAAUUGAUUCGUGAAAUUAUUUAUUAUUCUAAAAUACUCUCUAAACAAAAACAGAUCAAGAGCCAAUUAAAAGUCACUCACUUUCUUAGAGAAACUGUUGAUGGUCAGGGUAAUUUCAGCGACGAUAGGCAUCAUCAUCUGUCCAUCACAACAUGUGAAGAUAACAAAGAUACCUACAAAAUAGAUGUAUCAAUUGAAAAGAGAGAAAACCUAUGGAAUAGAUGAGGAGAAAAAAGAAAGUGAGUUGGUGGGAGGGAGCAAAAGGUGGGCAGUAGCCAGCCCGGAGAUUGCCACCGUUGCUACGCAAAACAAAAAAGAAGAAACAAACGGCUUGGAGAAAAAAGAAAAAAGACCUAAAGGACUAAAUUGCUCACUUUUAUACUUAAGGAGUUAAUUUGUUCUUUAGUUUAUAAUACAAGGAUCCACAUUAUAAAUUUUCCAUUACAAAUAGACGCCUUUGAUGAAAUUUGCUUAUUUUUCCUUUGAAUCUUUUGUGUUAAUUCCAAUGUAAAAAAUGGAAUAUUCUAAACGAUGGGUUUAAAAUAUAAAUUUCUAGUAUUGACUGAAUUGCAACUAUAGUGUUUACUAUUCAAAUUGGAAAAACAUGUUAAAUUAAUUGUGAAAGAAAAUUCAUUACUCAAAGAGUCAAGCGGUCUUGUUUGAAUGGUUUAUUUUUAUUAGAUAUUUUUCGUUGUUUUCACAAUUUUGUGUGGAAUUUCGUAGUUAUAUAUAUUGAGAAUUUGGUCACUGAAUUGUCUACUUCGUCUUUUACGAUGAUUCAAAUGACUCUUCAAUGCUCUCAGUGUAUCAAAUAUAUCAUAUAAUUUUAUGUAUUAUUUCUCAAGUCAAUUAUUUUACUGCUAUUUUAUGGAUGGCUGAAAAUAUGAUCAAUGUGCCUUUUUUUUUCCUCUAUGAAUGAUGACAUUAUGUUAGUCAACAGUUUACUAUCUUUAUAUAAUAUAUAUUAACAAUUUUUUAGUAAAUUAUAAGAGGAUGACAAAACGUUAAUAGUAACGCGACUCGGGGGCGAUGAAUACCCUGAUCAACAAGCCAACACACAGAUUUAUAUAUUAACAAUUUUUUAGUAGUUAAUUUUUCUUAAUAUAGGUAAACCUCACAAUUUUGAUUUCAAACUCAAAAUUUGACUUGAAAAAUUUUACUUGAUCAAUUUAAAAUAAAGCUUAUUUUAUUUUUAUUUAAUUAUAAAAAAUUAAAAAUUUAAACUUAAAUUGCUUCAAAUUCAAAAUAUAGGGGCUGGCUCUGCACCCUAAAAUGGUAAGUUUCUGUUUUAGUGUUUUAAAUUUUAUAAACUAUGAAAAUUACUACAUGGGCUUUCAAAAAUAAUAAAAUUUUGAUUUAAUCUUUAAUUAAUUAUAAAGACGUAAGCUAUUAAAAUGAUGAAAUUACAUUUUACCUCUCGUAAAAACUUUACAACUUACAAGAGAGUAAAUAGAUCCGAAAACCUCAAGCAACACAAAAUUAUUUGAAUCCAAAGCUCAUUUAUAUCUAAAAAUUAUGUAAACAAAAUUGUUUAUGUUUAUACAUUUUUUUAAUAAUUUCAUUACAGGUUCUGAUCAUAUAUGCUCUUUUUGACAUAAUGCCUAGAAUUACCCGUAAUCUCUCCUCAACCCAUAAAUAGGAAGAUAAUGCGCUUAAGCACACUCAAAACUAGAUCCUCUUACAUUAACAAUAAUACACAUACCAAUCAAGAUUAUAUAUUUUUUAUUAAGCUAAAAAUGAUUAAUUAAUUGUAUAUAUUUUUUAAUGUGACCCAACACCAUAUGAAUGAAACAAAUGAAUGCAUCAGCUCACUUGACUGAUGAAAGACGUAAGAAAUAUUAAAAUCUAUAUAAUAAAACAAUUAAAAAAAAGAUUGCAGAUAGCUUGCACAUCAAGCCUACUAUGUUUGAUUUUUAAUUUAAAUUUCUUAUCAUUCAUUUUAAACGUUUAAUUAUGAUAUUUAAUUUCGUUGUCUUGUAGUAAUUUUUCUCCCAGGGUAUAUUCAAUUAAUGUUUGCCAAUGUAUAUCUCAAGAUCAUGACAAUGGUUUGACAUAAAAUUAUAUAGAUGCAUGCAAAUUUCCCCUUGUUUUCUAUUAAUCAUUUAGUUUUGGCAUAAUAAUUUUUUCGCCCUCCAACUUCACAAAACAAGUCAUUUUAGCCCUCCAUUAAAAUUUUCGCUUCUUUUAACACUUGAAUUUGUAUUUUUUGUCAAGUCACUCCAAAGUAGAUGGAAAAAUAAAUUUUUAUUAACUUUCAUGACGUGUUAUAUAUGUGGAUUGCUGAGCAGAUGACAUAUUAGCAUUUAAUUCAUCUCUAAACUAUUAAAAAUAUUGUUAUUGUAUUUUUUAAUAAUUUAAUAAUUUUUAAUUUUUAAAUAUAAUUUUAUAAUAUUUUGAAUUUUUUAAAUUUUAAAAAAUUAAUUAAAUAUUGGCAUGUCAUCCCUAUAGCAGUCCACAUGUAUACAACAUCAACAAAGUUAAAAAUGUUAACUUUUUCAUUCAUUUUGGGGUGAUUUGACAAAAAUACGGAUUUAAGGACUUAAAAAACUAAAAAAUUAAAUGAAAAACUAAAAUGAUUUUUUUAUAAAAUUAAAAUAUAUAAAAAAAAACAUUAUGCCUUUUACUAGAAUGAGCACCCCCUUUCACUGGGGCUGCUGUAAAUCUUAUUAUAAUUUAGUCAAUUGAUAGUUAAAAACAAUUUAAAGAUGAAAUAAUUAUUUUUGUUAAAAAUUUUAUUUCUAAAUUUAAUAAUAUGACUAUUGAUAUUUAUAUUUUUAAUCAUAAAAAUUAAAUUUAACAUAAUUUUUUAAGAUUUAGUGCUGAUUUUAGACUGACAUAUAAGUUAAUCUAUGGAUCAAUUAUUUUGGAUACAUCAUUUAAUGCGAUAAUAAAAAAAUUCAUGCAAAUUCAAAUUUAAAUAAAUCAACUCAAAAAAUUUGAAUAGUUUACUAUCUCUAUACAAUAUAUAUCAGCAAUUUUUUUGGGUGAAUUAUAAGAUGAGGGCAAAGUCUUAAAUAGGAAUGCAGCUUGAACUCAGGUCACACUUGAGGCGAUGAAUACCCUAACCAUCAGACUAAUACAUAAAUUCAUAUAUUAACAAUGUUUUAGUUGCUAAUUUUUCUUAAUAUCGGUAAACCUUGCAAUUUUGAUUUCUAACUCAAAAUUUGACUUGAUAAAUUUAACUUGAUGAAUUUAAAAUAAAGCUUAUUUUAUUUUUAUUUAAUCAUAUAAAAUUCAAACUUAAAUUGAUUUAAAUUCGAAAGAUAGGGGUUGGUUCUGCACUCUAAAAUGGUAAGUUUAUGUUUUAGCAUUUUAAAUUUUAUAAACUUUAUAAAUUAGUAUAUGGUAAAAAUUAUACUUUGACUUUCAAAAAUAAUAAAAUUUUGAGUUAAUCCUUAAAUAAUUAUAAAGAUGUAAGCUAUUAAAAUGGUGAAAUGGCAUUUUACCUCAAGCAACAGAAAAUUAUUUUAAUCUAAAGCUCAUUUAAAUCUAAAAAUGAUGUAAACAAAUUUGUUUUAUGUUUAUACAUUUUCUUAAUAAUCUCAUUAUAAGUUCUGAUGAUAUCUGCUUUUUUUAACACAAUGCCUAGAACUACCCAUAGCCCCUCCUCAACCCAUAACCCCUCCCCAACCCAUAAAUAGGAGGAUAAAGCAUUUAAGUGCACUCGAAACUAGAUCCUCUUACAUUGACAAUAAUACCUAUACCAAUCAAGCUAAAAUUCAAUCCACUUUGUAACGUCUUGAAUAAUUUAAGUUUGUUUUUUGUGAAAUCUGACAUUAAGGUGUAUUUGUUUUAGUGGUUAAGUGUCCUGAGUGUGUGUGUAUCAGGUCUAGGGUUCAAUUCCUACAUUUGAAAAUUUUUUGUUAUUUUUGAUCCAAGCCUUAUCCCUAUUGGGUGGGUUUAUAUAAAUUGUCUGUUAAUCUAUAUCAAAAUGAGCAUAUUAUUUCGAGUGGUAAUGAGUUAACUUGUUGGAGGUCUUACGUUUGAAUCCCCACGUGAGCGAGGGUAAUAAUUUUUGCUUCGAUUGACUGAGUUUGGAUGGAAUCGAAAUUCUGUUUAAAUGGGUAGUUAUCAGUUGGUUAGGAGUGGAUAUAGUGGGAUUUUUAUUUUGAGAUUAAUUUAUUUUUAUUUUUAUCUUAUUUUAUUUUUUUCCCAAAAUCUUUUUUUGUUUUGAGGUUCUGUUUUCUUUUUCUUUUCAACUUCUGUCAAUUUUUGCUCUCCUUUCCUCUUUUGUUUUGGUAAUCAAAUUUAUUGGUGCAAUUCAUUGUAUUUCAGUCUAAGUACCCAAUUUCGGUUUGAUAAGUGUGGUUUUUAUUUUUGGCUAGUGAAUUUUUGGUUGAUGGGGUCUCAUUAUUGUUGUUUAUGAGAAGAUCAAGGGGCUUGGGGCUUUCUAUCAGUGUUAUAACUAUAGGAAAUCAUCAUUGUUCAUUUGACAGUUAGGGUUUUGGUUGAACAAGAGAUUGUUAAUUCGAUAUAGUUUCAGUUUAGCAUUGUUUUAGGUGGCUAAAUUCGACUUUUUAAUGAUCAAUUUUAGGUUCUGGUGGUCUCAAGAGUGAUUUCGCAUCAAAAUUGAACGAGGUGUGUACUCCUAACACGAAAAAAUUGAGUUUCGACGAAAGCUAAAAAUGGAGUCUGUCGACGCUACACAGGUGUGUGGCCGAUCGUAUGGAUGGCCGUGUGUGAGACACGACCGUGUAACUAAUGAAUGAGUGGUCAUGCACAAGACACGGUCGUGUGAUGGUGUGAGUGUGGCCAUAUGGGCCACACGGGCUAGGCCAAGUUAGGCAUGUGGGUGUGUGGGUUUUGGGCUAAACCAGUGGACCACACGGAUAAGGCCAAUCUGGGCGUGUGGGGCCACAUAGGCAUGUGGGCCCAGAAUUCUAAAACUUUCCCUAAGGUCGCACGGGUCAUUUCGAUCGACUGUGGGCCUACCGUAGGGUCGGUAAAGGCUAACCAAACCUUAUUUCAUGUGAUUUGAUAUUCUGAUAGACCGAUCUGAGUAGGAUACUAAUAUGCAUGUUUGACUGUACUGUUUAAGUAUGUAUCUAUCUGUAUACGAGCAUGUUAAGCAUGUUUAAUAUGAUAUUUUUGCAUUUGUACUCUGUAUCUAUGAAUAGAGUGGGAAUUGUAUAUGUGGAGGAAGUGAUCUGUGUAGCGACUCUUCACCUAUAUUUUGGCAACUUGACUGCAUAUUAUCUGUUAUGUGUCGCAUCGACAUUGUAUAAUGUGUAGGGAUGGGUGAGUGUUUUUAACGUUACGUGGUGUGAUGGUAUGGUUGGAGACGGUGUGUAGAGGAUGGGGGUAGGAUUCUGCAUAUCUUUUCUAUUUAUCUGAUUAUGAUAUUUGUAUCUGUUAUGGACUUAAGUUCGAAUAUGUAUCUGACUGUAUAUGAAGCAUUGUGCGUGUUGCAUGGCUAUUUCUAUUGGGUUACACACUGAGUUUAUGAAAAUACACAAUUGUUUGUCUAUUCUGUUCAGGAAAUCCAUAAACUUAGGCGGGUCGGUGCGAUACAGGCUUUGCGGUAACCACUCGACCAAGAACUAUUUUUAUUUAGUAAUUAGUGGUUUAAUUUUAAAGUCUGGUUUUUCUUGAUAGUUUGUAAUUUUUGGGACUCUCCGGACAGUUUGGUUUUAACUUUUGGAUUUGGAUUUUGUUUUGCUAUUUUUUCGCAACGUCAACAAAAACACUUUAUGCAACAAAUGGGUUUUUGAAAACACGAGCUUGGUUUUUGUUUUAAACGAUUUCCAAACUUUAGCUGCGAAAUAAAUGUUAAUUUUAAGGAACAACUUAUAACGAUUUCAGUAAUGAAUAUGUUUUAUAAUACUUGACGUUUUAUCAAAUAGCUAAACAUGGUUUAUCGAAGAAUCGUCGAUUUCAAAACCCUUAUUCGUAACACUCUCGAAUUCAGCCAUAACAUCUAGGCCAUGUUUGGGGUGUUACAUUUAGUGGUAUCAGAGUCAAGUUGCAAAACUCGAGAUGUGAAUUUUGGGUUCCGAAUUUGUGUUUUGAAAAAGGACUAGUUUUCAAACGAUUUGAAUAAUUUUCAAUAAGUAUGUGGUACAUCAAGUCUCCGGCACCGAUCCUGUAAGUAUUUCUGAACUUAGAUAGAACAUUCUUAAAAUACUAUAGUUAGUACUUUCUAAAACUGUACUGAGUUAGUUAGAGCUUAAAACCUCUGAAAUCCUUUGGAACUUCUGAUAACUUGAGCAUAAAAUAUCUGUUAAUAAACACUGGAACUGAUGCAUAAAAUUUUAUAAUGUAAAUAAAACUGAAAAUACGAUGAGAACUCGUGGAACUCACGGUCGUAAUAUUCGUGGGCGCGGCGGGCGCCGUAGGGGGCUUAAGCUGAGUUUUCCUCUUUAAGCAGUAUGCCGAAUUUAAAUAUGAGUGAGACACCAGUUUCACUUGUUACUGAGACUAGGUCUCAAAGCCGCACAGUUGGGGACGACACACUAUCCCAAGCCAUGUUAAGGGUGUUGGAAAGGGUUGUUGGACCUUAUUUUAGAUUUAGGGGCCAUUGGUCGGUAACUGAAUGACUCCAGUUCAGUGGAGCUGAAUUGUUUAGGGGUGUCACUGGAGUCGCCCCUACUGUGACUAAGUAUUGGUUGGUGGCCACUGAGAGGAUUAUGAAAGACAUCGACAACACUCCUAAGCAGAAAUUGAAGGGUGCAAUUUCUUUGCGUCAUAAUGAGGUGUAUCAGUGGUGGUUAUCGGUAGAGAAGGGUACUCAACCGGAUCGUCUGAACUGAAACUACUUUAAGACUGCCUUCUAGGAAAAAUAUGUGGGCGCGAGCUAUGUUGAUGCUCAUUGGCAUGAGUUCAUGAAUCUCACGCAAGGUAAUAAGGCUGUGGCCGAGUAUAAGGCCGAGUAUGAUGAAUGUGUCCAUUUUGAGGAUGGUUUGAGAGAUAGUUUAAGCGUCUAAUUGCUCUGUAGAGGGAGCGUGAGUUUGUUAUUUUGGUAGAUAAUGCGAAGAUCACUGAAGAGGUUAAGCGCGUGGAGCGCCAAAACAAAGACCAAGAGAAGGGAAAUAAUAAGAAGGAUUUGGAGCCCUCUAGUUCUGUUCAAAGGCCUAAGAAACGGGCCAGACCUGAUGUGCCUAUUAGAGUGGGAGUUCCUGUUGCUCCUACUUGGAUUCAGCCUUGUAGUGAUUGUGGUAGGCGCCAUCCGAGCGAGGGUUGGAGGAGAUUAGUGGCUUGUUUGCGGUGUAGGUCAUUAAAGCACCAAAUUAGAGAGUGUCCACAUCGUGUGGAUCAGAUGCAAGCUUUGGGACCGAGUUCUACUCAGCCUUAGUGAGUAAUACAGCAGCCACCUAGGGUCCGUGGGCUGGCUGGGGGUGGUAAUGGUAUGGGCCAAGGACAGAGCACCGGGAAAAGUGCUAAUCAGACUGAGGCGAGGCAACCUGCACUGGUUUAUACUGCUCGACACCGAGAGGACAGAGAUGCCCCUAAUGUGAUCAUGGGUACAUUCUUUAAUUUGAUGCUCCAUAUACUGCUUUGAUAGACGUAGGUUCUACACACUCCUAUGUAGCUAGUUUUGUUUUCGAGAACUUAGGGAUUUCUAUUGAGUGUACUUCUGGUGAGAUUACUGUACUAAGUAUGUUGGGGAAAUCUGUUCGGGUUAGUAGACUAUAUAGGAAUGUUCCAUUAGGGGUACAAGGGGUUGUGUUUCCGGCAAAUUUGAUGGAGCUACCGUUUGGGGAGUUCGACUUAAUUCUAGGUAUGAAUUGGUUAGUUGAGCACCGAGUUAGCUUGAAUUGCACGACUAAGAGGGUCGUUCUAAAGACCGAGGAUGAUAAGGAGGUUGUCGUAAUUGUCGAGCGUCGAGAUUACCUGUCUAAUGUAAUCUCCGCUCUAGUGGCUGAGAAAUUGGUUCAAAAAGGGUGUGAGGCGUAUUUGGCUUAUGUCAAUAUUUUAGUUUUUCUUGGGGCUUUUCUGUUGAGGAUAUGAGAACAGUGAGGAAAUUUUUGGAUUUUUUCCUGAAGAGUUGCUGGGUUUACCUUCGAAUCAGGAAGUUGAGUUCGGCAUUGAGCUUCUACCGGAUACAGCACCGGUGUCUAUUGCUCCAUUAUUUUGGAUCAAUUAUUUUGGAUACAUCAUUUAAUGCUAUAAUAAAAAUAAGAAAACUAAAUUGACUUGAGAGUGAUUUUAUGAAUCGACUUGUAUAAAUACAACAUUUAUAAAAAAUAUAAACAAUUGGGUUCGGAUUUUAAAAAGUUUUCAUGUAAACCUUUUUAAACAAAUUAUUUAAAUUUAAAUUUUAAAAAAAUUAUUUCAAUACUUUUGUUAACUCAUAAAUAAUAUGUAAAAUUAUAUAGAAAUUAAACUGUUCAUAAAAAUUUAAAUUUAAAUAAAUCGACACGAAAAUUCCAAACUUCAAACAUAAAUAAUCGAAAAUCUCAAGAUAUAAUGACUAUGAUUUGAAGUAAAAUUAGGUAGAUGCACCUAGUUUUCUCUUUGUUUCUCUAUUCGGUUUUCAUUAUUUAUUUUAAAACAAAUAUAUUGAUAAUUUGAAAUAAUUAAUAAUUACAAGCAAGUGAAGGUACCUUAGAAGCAAUUUUUUCAUUUACAUAUAACUGGGAAAACUUUGAAUUAAAUUAAAUAACUAUAUCAACUAUGAUCUGAAAAACUUUAAAAAAGAAUUUACACAUUUAAAUGAGACGAUAUUCGAAUUAGAAAUCUCAAAAUUUUUAAGAAUUCAAUGAAGACUAUUGAUUAUUACUAAAUUAUAGUACAUCCACUUUGUGGAUGAAAAAAAAUUUAUUAAAAAAUAUAUUUACCAAAUAAAACUUUGAUUAAAAUGAUAAUAUUGAAUGUUUAAAAUCAUAAUAUAUUAGAUUCAAUUCGUCGUCACAUAUGAAAUUUAUUGAUUCUGUACUGCUAGAUGAAUUUUGAACAACAAAUGGAGUGCUACCAAUUUUGCAAAUUAGAAAUCAAUUAAAAUUCAUAAAAACAAUUUUUGGUUUGGGAAAUUAAAAGUUUAUUAGAAAGUAGUAUUAUGCAUGAAAAAGAUAUACCUUUUAUUCAUGUUUAUUUGAAGUGAGAUUUCACCGUAUGCAAACAAGAGAGUUACAAUACAAGGUAUAUACUAUACCAGCAGAUCCUCUCGCUCUAUUCUCUUCUUCUUCUUCUGCUUCUUCCACCUCCUCUCUUGUAAGCUUCUUUUCUUAAAAUGCUUCACUGUUCUCUUCGCUGCUCUCUUUUUUCUUCUCUUCCUUUGGAAAACGAGGCCACCCUUAAAUGUUAAUAACAUUGUCAAAUAACAUAAAAGCCAACAUUAAAAAUUUAUAGUCAAAACCCAAGUUAAGGUCAAAAAUUAAAAUCGAGCUAUGAAAGUGUAGCAAGAUUCAACUUGGAUUUUUCAAAAUUAAACUUAACACUAGAAACCUGAUUACCUGCGAUAGUGAGUUUAAAAUUGAGCUUAGCCUGAAUAAAAAUAAGUUAUAAUAGUAUAAAUAAUAAUUUUUUAAUUACUAUUCAAUUGAAUUGAUAUUUGAUUAAUUUAUGAUAUCAAUUCAAUGAAAUAGAAAAUAUAAAUUUAUCUUAUUUGAUGAUUCAUGAAUUAAAUGCAUAUUUAAUUUAAAUGUUCUAAGUUAAACUUCAUCUCGCAUUUGAUAAUUUUAGUAAUAAAAAAUAGGGAUAAAUCUAAAAAUUAUACAUGAAGUUUGAUUUAAUGUGUAAUUGUAUACAUGAACAUUAAUUUGGUGGAAUUAUACGCGUGAAAAUCUAAUUGUGGUUCAAAUAUAUACUUGAAACUUUAAUUUUGAUUUAACCAUACACAUUUAAAGAAAUAAAUACAUCAGUUUAUUUUUAUAUUGGAUAAAUGUAAUUAUUUAUGCAUGCAAUAUAUAAACAUAAAAUGAUGUAAUAUCAAUAAUUGUGUUAAUAAUUUAAAAGAAUUGGAUCAAAUCAAAAUUUCAUGUAUAAAAUUACACAAAAUCAAAGUUCAUGUAUACAAUUGCAUAUUAAACCAUAGUUCACGUAUAGUUUUGGGAUUUAUCCCUUAAAAUUAAAUUUUCGAUAAUUUCAAACAUAAAAAAUUUUAUCGGCAUACUUUUAUCAUUUUCGUCACUGCCGAUAGUGACUAAAAUGAUAAAAGUAUGUAACAAUAGUGCCCAUAUUGCAAUCUUUUCAUUUUGGGCACUGAAAAUAAAAAGACUACAAUAUGGGCACUGUUUCAAUGCACAAAAUAAAAAUUUAUGAAAGUUGGAUGACUAAAUGUGUAGUUUAGUCAAAAAUUUUAAAAUAUAUUUUUGAAAAUAGUUAUUUGAUAAUUGAUUGGUGCCAAAUCCACCAAAAAUAAUAUUCCUACGCCUAAACAAUAUAUAAACAUCAGUAUAAGGAGUAGGGUCGAUCCCACAGAGAUUGAACAUCUAAAAUUAUUUUUCGAUUUAGCUAAGUUGAGUGUCAAGCACGACAUGUGAUGAUCUGUACAAAAAUAAAAAAAAAGGGAAUUAAAUCUGAUUAAAAUAAAAUUAAUAGAAAUACUUAAAAUCGAAAUAAAAGUAAAAUAAAUAAAAAAAAUAGAUUGAAUAUACCAAUGUGAAAAUAUUCUAGCUUCAAGCUCAAUUUCGGCUCUAGUUUCAAGCUGAUCUUUGAUAACACAUCUUCUCCUUCAAUCGUUAAAUCCGUUAUAGUAAUCGAGGACACCUCAUACCACCAUUCUUUCCGUGUGUAAAUUAAUUAUGGGAACACCCAAAAACUAACCCUUACCGAACGAAUAACCACAAAACACGUGUCCAUGAUUUAGCUCUUCGAUAGCCUUGUGAACUAGAAGAGCCCAAAAAUAAUCAACAACCUUAAAUGUGUGUGUCAUUUAAAUUCGAUUGUUAUUUCUCUUGACGGAUCCAACCAACCACUUAAUUGGACACGCCAAUGUGUUCUUCAAUAGAUCGAAUACGAUAACAGAUUAUAUCGAUUCUUCAAAUUGUAUGUCUAUCAACACCAAAUCAACAAACUAUUUUUUACCUGGUGUCACUAUAACUUUAUGAGACGGCAAUGUCUAUUCCUGAAACAAGAGAAAUAAUAAAUACCAAAAUAAAUGUUUUUUAAGUACGAUUUUGAAUCUCAUGGUUUUCUCCCGAAUUGACUAUCACCUUAAAGCUAAAUGGGAAAUUUAGCUAUUAAGAAAUUGUAACACCACAAAAUAUAUAGGGUUAAUUAAUCAAGAAAUGUCCUUGGUUUGAUGGUUAAAAAGUUAGCACUUUCCUAAUGGUCCUAGGUUUUAUCCACAUCUCAUGUAACGCCCCAGAAUUUUUAUUUUUGUUCUUGCGAAAGUGUGCCACAACUGUGUAUUUGCUUCAGUGGUUAAGUGUUCUGGGUGUGUGAGAGGUCCCAAGUUCAAGCCAGGACUUGGGAAAAUUUUGGUAUUUUUAUGAAUAAGCCCUAUCUUUGGUCAGUAGGCUUUUAAGUAAAAGUUGAAAAAUAUUAUUAGAAUGGGCUUGCUGGUUUGGUGGCUAAGUUAUGUGUUGGUAGGUGGGAGAUCUGGAGUUCAAGUACUUGCACGAGCAAGGGAAUUAUUUUUUUUAUUGCUUGGCCGUGUGGCGUGGUGGAGUCCUAGUCAAAUUGAAAUUUCGAGUAGUGGAGUUGCUGUGGAAGGUUAGGGAGAGAACUAAGGAGAUGAGUUACCAGAUUUUUUAGGCAUUAUCUUUUUGUUUACUUUUUUUUUUCAAAUUUAGAACUCUUUUCCACCUUUCUAACAUUUUCUCUCUUCUCCCCCACUCUCAAUUUUCAGUUUUCCUCUUUUUUUCUAAAUAAUAAAUCAUUGUUGUUGAACUUCCUUUGAAUUCCCCUUUCGUUUUCGUUGUCUUUCUUCAUCUUUUCCCCUUUGUGCAAGUGUGCAAUUGUGUUGUACGGUAAGUUUCCAUUUUAUUAAACUCGAAUGUUACUCUGGAUAAGGGAUUAAGGGGUGUUUUGUUGACUGUUUAGGAGUCGAUUGUACGGCUGGAAUUAACUUUCAUCGAUUUGACUCGAAGGGGUGAUCGUUUGGUAUGCGUAUAGGGUAUGUGUUUUCUUGUGUUGUUUGGCCGAGUGGUUUUGGCUUUGAAUUCAUUCUUAACUUUGUUGAACUCUUCAUUAAUGAGGAAUGGUUAUUUUUACAGCAGCGAAUCAUUUCGGUUGCUAUCUCCCUCGUGUUGAGUAGUUGUGGAAUUGUGCGAAGUUAGAAAGCUUUUUGUGAUCUCGGGAUUGCGUAAGCAGCGAAAACGGUACAGGUGUGUACCCGAAAGGCAGAAAAUGAGAUUCAGCGAAAAGCCAAAAUUGCUUGCUGUCGAGAAAUAAGAGAAAAUGAUGCGAAAAAUUGUAGAGAAAGGAAAUAAGGGUGUUAUAAUCUUGGAAAUCGACAUUUUGCACUAAAAUAGUUUUGGACUGCAGCAGUAAUCUAACUUUGAAAAAAUCAUCCAAAAUAGUGAAAAUUGAGUUAGAGGUUGAAUAAAAUAUGAAAUUAAAUUUUGUUGAGUCUAGUUUUUCAUGGAAGAAACAAUGUAAGCAAUAAAGUUGUAAGUUAUGAGAUAUAACGAAUUUUGUGAGACAAGGUCAGAAUGGUUUCGGGUUCCCCUGUUCUGACAUUGGAAAAAUAUCGAAAAUUGUAAAAAAAAUAAUUAGGGGCUUAAAUUUAUAUUUUUAAAUCCUUAACAAGUCUAUUUUCAAGAGAAACAAACAGAAACAUCAUCCGAAUUUCGUACUAAGAGAUAAAUAAUUUUAGUAAGGAAAGAUUGAAGCUGUCAAAUAGUAGAAUCGGGAUAGAUUUGAAGAUUUUACUGUACUUAUUUGAUAAACUAUAAAAUCUAAAAAUUUUAUGGUAGAAAAAUAUUUGAGUCUAGUUUCGAAAACAUCAAGCGGAUCUUAAUUUAGAAUUCUGUAGCUCAAGAUAUAAAUAAUUUAGUGACAAUGACUCAAGUAGACAGCUUUGAAUGAACAUAUAAGUAAAUAGUGAAAACAUAUAUGAAUAUUUAGCUAGCAUGGGUUACAUUAAAAAUGGAUCACACGACCAAGACCAAUUUGGGUCGAGUGGGCUACACGGGCACACACGGGCGUGUGGGCCCAUUUUUACUGGAAUGUUUCUAAGGUUGCACGAGUCGCCCAAGUCGACUGUGAACCUAUUAUAAGGUCGGUUAGCGCUACUUAGACCCCUAAAUGUGUGAAAUUGACUGAAUGAUAUUUGUACUGAGCAUGUUAAUAUCUGAACUGAAUAUAUGUGCUGAAAUUGCAUAAUAGCAUAUCAUCCAUGGUAUGUUGCAUUGCAUUGGGUUAGAGGUUGUUAUUCGGAGGAAGUGUACUAAAAGGCUUUAAGCCUAAUUUACUGGCAGCUCAGCUGCAAACUACUGUUUUGUGCUGCAUUCGAUACUAAUUGGAGUGUAGGGAUGGGUCGGUUGAUUAUAUCCCCACAUGGAGUGUAGGGUUGGACGGAGAUGGUAUGUAGAGGCUGGAUGGGUAGGAUUUUGCUACUGCAUAAUUGUUACUGCUACUGAUACUGUGAUGGGCUAAGGCCCUACUGCAUUUUUGACACUGUACUGAGAUGGGCUAAGGCCCAAACUGUCACUGAUACUGAAAAGGGCUUAGGCCCAAGACUGUUCAACUGUGCACUAUGAUUACUGAUUGCUUGUUUAUUUCUGCGGGAUUACACACUGAGUUUACGUAAACUUACCCUUUUUGUUUAAUGUGCACAGGUAAUCCCCAGACUUAGAUGGAUCGGUGCGACGGAGGACUCAGCGGUGACCACAGAAAUUUUUGGACUUCAUGGUUUUCAAUUUACGUUUUAUGAUUUAAUUAUUAUUGAUUAGUUGGGUUGUAAUUUAAGGACCCUCUGGGACUUUGGUUUUAAAUUUUGGGUUUUUAUUUAUUUAUUUUACUUUAUGGAUUUGUACCUGCUGGUCAUAGGAAAUUCGGUUUUCAAAAAGUUAAAGUAUUUUCUAAACGUAUGAUCACUUAGACUGUUUUAUUAAAGCUUUUGUAACGAGGGAUGUUUCAAAACAAAUGUUUUAAAUGAAUAAAGGCGACUUCCUAAGUUCUAACAAAGGUUUACUAAAGAUAAUAACAUGGAAUGUUUUCAUCGUAACAACGAGGUUUCAAAAACACUAUCGUGUGACAUUACCAGAUACGACCAUAAUGUCUAGGCUGGGUUUAGGGUAUUACAUCUCACCCAUAUUUUUCUUUUCAUUUUCAGCAAACUAGAAUGAAAAUCUCCAUAGAAUAUAUAUUAAAUGGAGUAAAAAAUGAUCAAGUGUGGGUAGUAGCUCAAUGGUUAAGCAUCAUUCCUUUCUCCCUUGAAUCCCAAGUAUAAGUCACACCACUCACCCUAUUUCAUUUUUUAUUUUCGGCAAGAAGGGUUAAUUACCCAUCCAAACAGUACCUAAAAAUUUGAAAACCCUAGCUAUUUAAACCAUUAUCCUAACUAGGCUAGGAUUUUGUUUCCUUCUCCAAUUCUCCUAGAACUUUACUUCCAUCUUUUCUAUUUCUUCCCUCUUUCUUUUCUUUGCUUUUCUUUUCAUCAAAAUUUUGUUCCAUUGCUGAAAAUCGUUCUUGAUUACCCAAAAUCGAAAUCUAUUCUCGAUUUUAACUCACUUUUCAACUAGAUUCGUAAUCGCAAUUCGAAACAUUCUCCGAUCGUUGCCAAGAAUCAGUAAGAACAUUCUAAUCCCAAAGUUUAGAUCUUAAAUUCCUGUAGACUUUUUAUUCAUGUUAAUUUUAAGAUUGAUCAAAUGAUCUUUUACGAAUCUUGUCAAUAUUUCCCAGUAAUCUUGAUAAAUCUUGAAUAUCGUUAUUAAUUCUUACUUAAAUGCCAUUUGAAGGACUUGAUCUAGGUACCUCGAAUUAGAUUCAGGCGCAAGGAACGUCGUUUGAGAUCUCGAAGUCAAGUGUAUGUUCUUUUACAAGUGAAUCGAUGCAAAAUCAUGCCUAAGAUAGUGCCACACAGGCGCGUGGGCCACCGGUGUGGACCACACGGCCCCCUCACAUGACCAUGUCCCCCUGAAACCCUAGGUUAUUUCGACCCUCACACGGCCUAGGACCCUCCACACGGUCGUGUCUCCCUUAUAGGUUGAUUUUUCAAAUGCCACAAGGCCACAGUCUGUCACACGACCUAGCCACAUUGUCGUGUACUCCUUCCACACAGUCUAGGGCUUUCCACAUGGUCGUGUGUCCCCUGUACCUUAGAUUUUACAAUUUUGACCAAGAAUUUUAUGUUUUGUUUAGUUUAGUCCCUGAAUGAUUUUCGAACUAUUUAUAGUGCUUCAAAUUAUUCAAUUAAGCCCUGAUGAUAUGAAUUAUGUUAGAAUCCAUGAUUUGAUGAAUUGAUUUAGUAUGAUAUUUAUAUAUAUAAACAUGAAUUGUGAACAUUAUAUAUAUGUAUAUUAUUUUAGGGUUUGUAAUCGUAUGUAUGGUAUGCCUUAUGUCAGUGUCAAACCAAGCACACAAAAAGCAUGAUUUUUACUAAUAAAUUAAUCUGUCACAAGCAUGUUCAUUGCUACUGAACCAAACCAUUAUAAGAAUACUGAUUGCUAUUGUAUUGUUUGUUAAAAGCAUAAUUUAAUGUUAUUUUAUUAAUCUGACGAACAUGUCAUAUUGCUUUGCAUGGGAUGGGAUGUUAUGAAUGGAGGAAGUAUUUGCAGUAUAUCUGCAUUUAUUUUUUUGUGAACCCACAGCCAUAGGCAAAUUCCAUCUACGACGGUUUGUUGUGUACCCACAACCAUAGGCAGAUUCCAUCUGCAAUGUUUUUGCUGUGCAUCCAUAACCCUUUGACAGUAAUCAUUUGCAAGCAUGUUUUGCAUCCAUGGCCAUUGGCAGAUUUUACCUGCACUAUUUUGUGUCCACAGCCAUUGGCAGUAAAAUUGCAAUCUAUUGGUAGUUAAUCCAUAAUUUGGUGUGUUAGCGGUUGGAGUUUUGGAUAACUCUAAUCGUGGUGUGUAGCGGUGGAGUAGGAUCUUUUCUAUUAAAACUGAUACCGUAUGGCAUCUAUAAAAGCAUCUGCAUGCAAACCUAGAAUUUCUGGUAAGAUAUAUUUAUAUCUAAAUAUAUGAAUGAGUUAUCUGUGAAAUCAAUAUUCUGAUAUUGCUAUUGUAAAUUAUAUAAGCUAAUGAUGGCUAAAUUGAAAAUGGAUAUUUUGAACUGCUACUUAAUUGCGAUUAUUUUAUGCAUUAUUAUUUAAUAUGCCUUACCGACUAUUGUGCUAAUUUUAUUGUGAUGGAACUCAAAGUGAGCGUCAUAGCUCAGUCCCCCUUUAAUUUUCAUCCUUAUAGAUAACUCACCAGGUUAGGGCGCGGACAUGGCAUCCGGAGGGUCUCGGCUCAGUUUUGUUAAAAUAUUUUUAGAUAUAUUAUUUGAAAUUUCAUUAUUUAGAGAUUGUAUUAUUGUUUUAUUUGAAUUGUGGCAUGGGGUUUAUGAUUUGAGUUUGUUUUUAUUUUGCAUAACACUUGAUUUAAAUUUUUAGGACAUCAUGUUACGAUUAUUAACUAGUAUGCAUGAACCCCGAUUUUUAUUAAAAAUAAAUAGACAUUACUUUUCCGUUGCUAAAUCAUAAUUAAAAUUUUGAGGAUUAAUAAAUCGGUUUGUAUCUAAAUUUCCUACCAAAAUAAACAAAUGUUUUAAAAUGACCGUUUUCAAAACUUCGAUAGCUUAUUGAGCCACUUUAGUAGAUAAUAUAAUCUUUCGAAUUCAGAUCUAACGUCUAGGUCUGGUUAAAGAUGUUACAUAAACAUAUUCAUAUAAAGGUUUUCAACAAAGUUAAAAAUAAUAAUAAUAAAAGAAAGCAAUAAAUAUUAAAACCCACCCAACCAACCGGAACACCACUCCGACCACCCUGCACACCACAAUUGGGCUAUGGUAGGCCGAUCCACCCUACACACCACAAUAGUGCGUAUAAGCCACUCAAAAGGAAAUAUGCAACUGAGCUGACAUAUAUAUAAUAAUGCAGUAAAAUUGCUGUACAGAAUAUUACAGAUAAACUGAUCAAAUCAAACUUUCUUCUCUUCACAACCAAAACCCCAAAUUAUUUAUGAAAAUGUAAAAAUGCACACAACAUGCAGGUAAACAUAUAAUUAACAAACAGAAUAUUACAGAUGAUGACUGAAUACUGAAUUUGAACUUGUAAUUUUUGAAUUUAAAAUCAACACAUAAUUAAUAAGAUAUUAUUUUUUGGGCAUUGUGAAGGUGUUAAUACCUUCAUCGCAUGUAAUUGAUUCCCGAACUCGAAUUUUCUUUGAUUUUCAAAUAACAAACCAACUAAUUAUAUUUUUAAAAGGCGAUUUUAUAGGUACCUGAUCACACCUAGUUAAAAGAUUUGUGACGAAUCUUAUGUUCUAAAUAAAAACCCAAUGUUUUAAAAUUUUAAAUUUUUCAUAUUUUUCUCAAAAUUUGUCAAGCUAGCUUUGUUCAUAAAAAUGGCAUUGAAAUUAGUCAUCCAACUUUUAGUAUUUUUUGAGUCACCCAACUAUGGAACUUUACAAAAAAUGACCAUCCAACUAUUCAGCCUUUUUCUUUUUUGUCACACAACUAUAUGAAUUUUUCUUUUUUGGUCUCCGGCCAUUAAUUUGCUAAUAGAAAGAUAACUUGACAAUUUUUAAAAUUGGCAUAAUAACAACUUUAACCCUCAACAUUUAUGCAUUGUAUUAAUUUAGUCUUGAUUUCAAAAAAAAUAACUAUCAACAUUUACAUAUUAUAUAAUUUGGUCUCUCUCUCUCUCUCUCUCUCUCUCUCUCUCUCUUACUUCUUACUUUACUUUCUUUACCUUUAAUUUUCCGUUUACNNNNNNNNNNNNNNNNNNNNNNNNNNNNNNNNNNNNNNNNNNNNNNNNNNNNNNNNNNNNNNNNNNNNNNNNNNNNNNNNNNNNNNNNNNNNNNNNNNNNNNNNNNNNNNNNNNNNNNNNNNNNNNNNNNNNNNNNNNNNNNNNNNNNNNNNNNNNNNNNNNNNNNNNNNNNNNNNNNNNNNNNNNNNNNNNNNNNNNNNNNNNNNNNNNNNNNNNNNNNNNNNNNNNNNNNNNNNNNNNNNNNNNNNNNNNNNNNNNNNNNNNNNNNNNNNNNNNNNNNNNNNNNNNNNNNNNNNNNNNNNNNNNNNNNNNNNNNNNNNNNNNNNNNNNNNNNNNNNNNNNNNNNNNNNNNNNNNNNNNNNNNNNNNNNNNNNNNNNNNNNNNNNNNNNNNNNNNNNNNNNNNNNNNNNNNNNNNNNNNNNNNNNNNNNNNNNNNNNNNNNNNNNNNNNNNNNNNNNNNNNNNNNNNNNNNNNNNNNNNNNNNNNNNNNNNNNNNNNNNNNNNNNNNNNNNNNNNNNNNNNNNNNNNNNNNNNNNNNNNNNNNNNNNNNNNNNNNNNNNNNNNNNNNNNNNNNNNNNNNNNNNNNNNNNNNNNNNNNNNNNNNNNNNNNNNNNNNNNNNNNNNNNNNNNNNNNNNNNNNNNNNNNNNNNNNNNNNNNNNNNNNNNNNNNNNNNNNNNNNNNNNNNNNNNNNNNNNNNNNNNNNNNNNNNNNNNNNNNNNNNNNNNNNNNNNNNNNNNNNNNNNNNNNNNNNNNNNNNNNNNNNNNNNNNNNNNNNNNNNNNNNNNNNNNNNNNNNNNNNNNNNNNNNNNNNNNNNNNNNNNNNNNNNNNNNNNNNNNNNNNNNNNNNNNNNNNNNNNNNNNNNNNNNNNNNNNNNNNNNNNNNNNNNNNNNNNNNNNNNNNNNNNNNNNNNNNNNNNNNNNNNNNNNNNNNNNNNNNNNNNNNNNNNNNNNNNNNNNNNNNNNNNNNNNNNNNNNNNNNNNNNNNNNNNNNNNNNNNNNNNNNNNNNNNNNNNNNNNNNNNNNNNNNNNNNNNNNNNNNNNNNNNNNNNNNNNNNNNNNNNNNNNNNNNNNNNNNNNNNNNNNNNNNNNNNNNNNNNNNNNNNNNNNNNNNNNNNNNNNNNNNNNNNNNNNNNNNNNNNNNNNNNNNNNNNNNNNNNNNNNNNNNNNNNNNNNNNNNNNNNNNNNNNNNNNNNNNNNNNNNNNNNNNNNNNNNNNNNNNNNNNNNNNNNNNNNNNNNNNNNNNNNNNNNNNNNNNNNNNNNNNNNNNNNNNNNNNNNNNNNNNNNNNNNNNNNNNNNNNNNNNNNNNNNNNNNNNNNNNNNNNNNNNNNNNNNNNNNNNNNNNNNNNNNNNNNNNNNNNNNNNNNNNNNNNNNNNNNNNNNNNNNNNNNNNNNNNNNNNNNNNNNNNNNNNNNNNNNNNNNNUAUGCACUAGAUAGACUAUCGAGGGCAUUAAAUGACGAACAAUGAAAAUAAAAGGAUAAAUUACAUCAUUAGUCCCUAAACUAUAAGUAAGUUUUCAUUUUAGUCGCUUAACUAAAAAAGUUACAAUUUGAUCACUAAACUAUUCAAAAGUUAUCAUUUAAGUCAUUGAGCUGUUAAAAUCAAAGUUAUAUGGCUAAACAGGAUGUAUUGAACUCAUAAUUCAUUAGAUACUUUUUAUGAAUGUCAACUAAGUAUCGUAAGUAAAUUGGUCUAGGUUGUUCAAUCAUUUGAUAACCAGAGUCAUUCUUUGAUAAAUGAUCACUAUGAGUCAGACUCAAUAGAAUUUGAUCAAUCCUUUUUUCUGUCGUUAAGGUGGAGAACUGAACCAAGAAUUCUCUUCCUUUAUCAUCAAUCAAAUCACUGUUCGCGACCUAGGAUUCUAUUUUCUCAUCAAUCCAAUCAGCGCUCACUUUUUUCUUUCUCUUAUCAAUGAAUAGAUCUCGCUGCCUGCACCAAUUGAAACCUCUCUUUCCCUUUCUUUUCUACAGUUCAUUUUUUUAUGAAAUAGCUUUGAACGUCAUAAAUUUGCAAUUCAAAAUUCAAAAAGCUUUUUUCUCUAAUCUCCGACAUUGACCAUCAAAUCAACUUGGAUCUAAGAUAUGUUCUUCUACUCAUCAAUAGUUAUUGAUUCAGUGUACCGAUUGUCAAAUCAUUGCUUUGAGCUUUCUUGCGAAACUUCUAAAAAAAAAUAAUAGCGUAGUAACUUAAUAAAAUUUUUUGAAUACUUCAUUGACUUAAAUAAAAAUUUUCUAAUGAUUCAAUGAUCAAAUUAUAAUUUUUUUAGUUAAGUGAUCAAAACGAAGAUUUACCUACGAAAAGAACAACUCAAAAACCGAUAUGCCCUCCGUUUAUAUUUUUAUUUUAAGGUUGUAUCCUUUUGACUUAAGAAAAACAAUAGAAGCUAAAAGGUUGCAAUGAUUUUAGCAUGUUAUAGAUAACUAUAAUGCUUUGGAAAAUAUUAAUUUUUAAUUUCAUAAUAAAUAAUAUAUAGAUGUGCAGUAAACAAGAAGUUUUUACAAUAAUACAUUGCUUUCACUAAAGUCAAGUGAAUACAGUAUAUUAACAUUGUUUAUUCUAUUUGUAAUCUUUCAAUUUUUAUUAAUUUAAUCAAAACAAUAAAUAAUCGAUUAUGAUUUUUAUAAUUAAAUAUCCUUACCAGUCUUUUUAAGCUGUUAUUAUUAUAUUAUUACUUUAAACGUGCAUUGAAACUAAAUAAAAAUACGAAUAUUAUAUAAUUUUUUUUGACUGAUCCAAGAUGAAAUUUAAUAAAAUCUAUUUGUUGUAUAUUUAUUAUCGAUAAACAUUGGUCUUCGUACGUCUCCUUUAGAAUAUUUACACUUAAUUCACAUAAAUAUAAAAUAUGAAUAUAAUUGUUUAAAUUCUUUUGUUUGGAAAGGAAUAAAUAUAUAAUUUCUUAAGCUUGGCGGCAAUAUCUAAUACGAAAUCCUUGAAAAGAAUCUUGUUUGAUUGCUAGGUUUGCCUUUGAAUAUGGAAAUUAAGUAAUUUUGAAAAAAAUGUUCUUCCUCACAAUUUUAAAAAAUAUAUAUAGUAAUUUUGAAAGGUAUAAUAAUUUUACGUGUUCCUAGUGAAUAUAUUAUUAAAAAUUAAAUGAAUUUUUUUUAAUUUUAUAUUAUUAUCUGAUUUACUGAUAGUGUCAAUGCAUCAUAUAUAAAUCCAUUGAAUUCAAGUUCUAUACAUUUAUAUUAGCUAUUAUUAUUGGCUUAUUGGUACUAUAAAUUUUUGAAUUAUUUUUAAAUGAUUGACUAAGUCCAUUUGAACCUUUUAUAUCCACUUGAGUCUUUAAACUGACAAUUUUGACCAACGAGAUUUUUUUACCAACGUUGAUCAUUAGAAACCAACACCAACAUUGAUGUGGUCAUUAAUGGAUAUCACAUUAAUCAACAAAUGCUGAUGGGGUGAUCCGCAUCAAUAAAAAUUAAAAAUAUUUUAAAAUUAUUGUAAAAAAAUGUACACAAUAAACUUAAAUAAAUAGUUGUCCAGGUUCAUUUGAAUGUAGAUAUUCAGAUGUCCAUAUUCAUCAUGGAAUUAUAAAAAGAAACAAAAAAAAUUAUAAAGAAUAAUUAAAAUUAUAAAAAAUAAUAAAAUUAUUAUAAAUUAAUUAAAAAUCAUAAAAUUUUAUAAAAUAAAUUAAAACAAAGCUUUUUAUUAUAAAUUUUUAUAAAGUCCAUUAGGUUGAAUAAAAGCUUUUAAUUAAAAUCCAUUUGGACUUUUUUAAAAGUUUCUAAAGAUUUUAUUUAAAAACAUUAAAAUUAUUAUAGUUUCUAAAAAUAUUUUUAUUUACAAUCCAUUUGGUUUUAAUAAUCCAUAAACAAUUACAAAAAAAAAACUUUUAUAUAAAUAUAAUUUGGUUUUUAAUUUUAUACGUUUUAAUAAUUUUUAAUAAUUUAAAAAAAACUUUUAAAAAAUAAUUUUAAUAAUUUUAUAAUAAUUUUAUAAAAUUUAAUAAUUUUGUUAUAAUUUUUUUAUUUUUUUAUAAUUUCGAAAUGAAUAUUGAAAAAUGUGGGUCCAUAUUCAAAUGAGCAUGGACAAUCAUUUGUCCAGCAUGAUUGUACAUUUUUUAAAAAUAAUUUUAAAAUAAUUUUUUAUUUUUUUUAUUUUUACUGAUGUGGCACUGUCAAGUUAGCAUUUGUUGGCUAAUGUGGCAUUUGUUAACAAUCAUAUUAGUGUUGCUAUUAGUUUCUAACGAUUAAUAUUGGUCAAAUGGCCUUGUUGGUCAAAAUUAUCAAUUCAAUGAUUCAAUUGAGUAGAAAAGAUUUGGAGGGGUUUACUUGAUUUUUGAAAGAAGUUUGAAUGCUUAAUAAGCCUAUAUUAUCUUCAAUCGAUUAAUUCUAUCAAUCAUCUCUAAACUAUUGCCAAUAUCAUAAUGUCAAAUUUAACCGCAACAUUUACAUCUUUCAUCAAUUUGGUUUUUUUGUUUGUUUAUAUUUUAGUUAAAUUUGGCCCUUAAUCUUUUAAAAAAGAGUUAAAUCAUUUUUUAUAGAAAAUCCUGACUAAAACAUUAAAUUUUUUUUAACGAAGAUGGCAUGGCAGCUCGUGUGGCAAUCCACGUGUACUUCAUUUUCACAUAACACUAUUUAUUAUAUGCCACACCAAAAUAUAAUUUAAAAAUUAAAAAAUAAAAAAAAUUUAUAAAAAUUCAAAAAAAAAGUAUGAAGUACAUGUGGAUUGGUAUGUGAGCUACCGUGUUUAAAAAUUUAACGGUUAAUUUUCAUUAAAAAAUAGCAAUUCAACAAUUUUUGAAAGGUUUAAUUUAAAUAUGACAUUUUUUUUUUGAAAGGUUGAUGACCAAAUUUAGCUAAAAAAAAGGGAUCAAAUUGACAAAAAAAAUUGUAAAUGUAAGGACUAAAUUUGUGUUAUGCCCAUUCUUAAUUAGUUUAAAACUUCAAAAUAUGUUAAUUGAAUCUUUAAAAUAUCAACAUUGUAUCAAAUAGGUUUUCUAUCAAUGUCGUAGUUAAUCUAAUUGUUAAAUGUGAAUCAAGAUAUGAUAUGCGGCAUGCUUAAAAGCAAACGGAUUAAACUGUAAACUCAUGUGUAUCUACCACAUAAAAAAUUUAGGUUUGACGUAUUUAAAAAUCGAUGUCAAUAAAAUGUUAUCUAUGCUGUAGAUAUAUGCGUCUUUACAAUUUGAUCUACGUAUUUCAAAUACACUUCAACUCAAACCUGAGUUGGCAUUUAAUGCCUCAACUAAUUGUUAACAUAAUAGAAAGACUUGAUUGAUAUGAUACUAAUACUUUGAGGACUGAAUUAAAACAUUUUUAAAAUUUGGAAUUGAAUUGAAAAUAUGCAUAAUUUGAGAACAUUACGUCAUAGUUUAAAGUGUUUAUGGUAAAUUAGUGAAUGGUAAACCUGACAUGCUUUAUUAUAAUAGUAAACAUUAACUUCUCUUUACUCAGUUUAAUUGUGGGAUUGUAAUUAUCAUUUAUUUACAACUGAUUAAUUUUCAUAAUUACAUGCUAUUUUGGAGGGAUUUACCAAAAAAAGCCAAUUUUUUUAUAAAAUUACCGAAAUAGGCCGGUUUUUUAAUUAUUUACCGGACUGGGCCAUUUCCCCCAAAAUCGCGCCACGUCGGAGCGAUGUCAGGGGACGGGGCAAAAGGUAGCGUCCACGUCAGCGCGACCUGAUGACGUGGGAGGAAAUCGCUCCCUUGAGGGCGCGAUUUCCUUCCAUGUCAGCAGGUCGCGCUGACGUGGACGCGACCUCCUGUCACUUAGCGCGAUAUCGGGAACGCGAUUUUGACCCUGAUUUUUACGCCUGAGUUUUAUGUUUUAGGGUUUAGGGUGCAUGCUUUUUAGGAGUUAGGGGUUCAGGAAAAUUUUUUUUCGAGUUGACGUUUCUGGUUAAAUAGUGGGAAAUCGCUUCUACUAGGAUGCUAUUUAAGAAGAAAUUGUGAAAUAGUGGCCUCGUGGACGCGAUUUCGCUACAGUGGUCAUGUGAGAAAUAAUUUUUUUUGACGUUUUCUGAGGAAAUAGUAUAAAAUCGCUGAUACCAGGAUGCUAUAUGAGAAGAAAUUGUGAAAUCGCGCCCUCGUGGACGCGAUUUCGCUACAGUUGGUCAUGUAGGAAAUAAUUUUUUUUGACGUUUUGAGCAAAUAGUGUCAAAUCGCACCCUCGUGGACGCGAUUUCGCUACAGUAGCAAGUUUGGGCUGAGGCUAUAAAUUAGGCAGAGAAUUUUCUUAGAAUGCAUAACUCAGAGCAGAAACAUUUUAGGUUAGGGUUAGGGAAUUUAGAGUUUCAAAAUGAGUGAACGUAUUAGUGCUGUUAUUUACUACGAUGGUGAGAUUUGCCACACCGAGAAUGGUGUUGUUUUUUUGUCGGAGAAUACGGUGCGACUGUCAUUUAGACAAAACAUAGAUUUGACAGAACUCCGUAAAAGAAUUAGGCGUAAAAUCUUCGGAACCACGUCAUUGACAUAUGACUCAUCUUGCUAGCGGAGCAACUUAUAUUGAGUUAUAUGUACAAUUUAUGUCACCAAAUGAUGUACUUCCGUCCGGUGUUUGAGAUGUAUACACGACCCCUGGCCGACACUCGAUUAGCGUGUUACAAAAUACGGAACAGCCUAUGUUCGGUAGUGGUGUCGAAUGCACAUCCCCCCAAGACACUCUGUCGGUGGAUGGGACAUGUACGUCGGUGGCUCGACGGUUGACGCUGGAAAUACGAGCUGGAGAACCGCAUCAAGUUCUACUAGAUGGCAAUCUACAUCCAAUUGGGGGCGUUAUCAAAUGCCCAGAAGAAGGGAUGACGUACUACCUACGACAUCAACCGGUGAGGGGACGUCGUAUGCUGCAGAUGAUUGUGGGUUAGAAGGUGAGUCCGAUGUGGAUCCACCUCGAGAGCCCGGGCCGGAUGGUGCAGAGGUGGGACUAUUUUCUGAACCGGAGCCUAUUCCAAUAGAAGGUGAAGAUGGUGAUAUGAGUGCAGAUGAUGAAGAAAAUCCACGAUUCAGAGCAUAUUCACCUCCAGCCCACAUGCAUAAUGUCGAUCUAUCAGCAGAUGAUGCGUUAGAGUUUCCAGAUCUACCACACCGGGUGCGCGAUCGUACAAGUUCGGGAGUAGAUGUUGGUGAACUUGAAGUUGGUAAUCAGUUUACCAAUAAGGAUAGUUUUAUUGGUGCUUUGAAACAGCAUAGCAUCAAAAACGGCGUUAAUUAUCAAAUUGUAUUAAAUUAUGUAUUGAUAAUUGUAUUAAAUUUUGGUUAAAUUAUCAAAUUACUACAAUUUCUUAAAUGUUAGUACCAGUCAAAACAUUUUACGAAAUCCAACAUUAUGUAAAACUACAAUUUAAUUAGGGUUUUUAAUUAAAUAGGGUUAGGAUUUUUAAUUUAAUUAAAUUAGGUUAGGGUUUUUAAUUAAGUAGGGUUAGGGUUUUUAAUUUAAUUAAAUAAGGUUAGGGUUUUUAAUUUAAGUAGGUUAGGUUAGGGUUUUUAAUUUAAUAAAAUUAGGUUAGGGUUUUUAAUUAAAUUAGGUUAGGUUAGGGUUUUUAAUUUAAUUAAAUUAGGGUUUUUAAUUAAGUAGGGUUAGGGAUUUUAAUCAAAUAAUGUCAAAAUAACUCGGAAAAAAUUCUAUUUGUAUUACAUCGUCAUAAACUUCUAAUUCAUUACAUCAAAUGAUUAAUUUUAAUACGGUAAUCAAUGUCUAUGACCGGGGGAUUUUAAUCAGUUCCACAUGGCGGCCGUCGACGGUUACGCGCUGGAUUCCUCCUUUCUCUAGCUUCCAGGGGCGGUUGUUGUUCCUCCGGUGGGGAUUCUGGUUCUUCCGGUUUGGCAUCUGGUUGUCGGACUUGGGACGAUGAUCCACCUUCAAAGAAUAGUGUAUGUGGAGGUGUUUGCAUCAUGAACGGCGACGGAGUUUGAAAGCCAUGCGUUGCUGGCGAUUGGUAAAAAGGAGAGCUCCCCGACGGCCCCCCUUGCGACCCCUCCUGCGCCGAUGGCCUAGUUAUCGGUGGUCCGCUCGGCAUUACAGGAAAUGGAGCUGAUCCGGGCAUUUGGCUCCAACCUGCCAUAGGAUUCGGAAAAGGAUACAUGUACGGGUUAGGGUACAUAUAAGGGCUAGGAAACAUACCUGGCAUCAUAGGGAAAGGUGAAUGCGUGGGUAUCAUCUGUUGAAUUGCUGCGCCAGGUGACUGCGUUGGUGCUCUCGUUGGGGACGGUGAUUACAUGGUCGCUGAUGAUGAACUGGGUGAAUGUCUGGGCCUCGUUGAGGGGCUGCCCUCGUAGUUUUGUCCCCUAGGAUUUUGAGGCCCGCGUCUUUCCCUUCCGACACGUAUUUGCCGCCGCCUCUCCUCCGGCGUAAGUAAAUACGGCUUCCCAUGGGCCCUAAACCAUGCCUUGUAUUCUGGAACGCACGCUAACUCGGGAACGAUGAUUGGUUCCGGAGUAGGUAGAUAUUCAUUCUGAUUUUCCCACAUUUCUGUGUACACUGACCAGUACAACAGCCAAUCCGUACCUAAUAGCCGAAGGUCGAUUUUGUGGUGCUCGUCAAACUCCUCAGGGUCCGCAGGGAUCGGUUGUCUACAUCCAAACUGUCGUAGGACUCUGUCUGUCUGGUGGGGCUCCACGGUUGCAUAGUUGAUCAACACCACUUUCACGUGCCAAGCGUUCAGAUUUUGUAAAAACUCUUCCGGGAUUACUGCCCGAACUGCCGGAUCCUCGUAUGGUGUCCAUUGAAACUAUAUGAACAUGAUAACAAUAUUACAUAUAUACAUAAUACUAAAUACUAAAUAUCAAUCCACUAGCGAAUGUAUGGAAAUAUCUAUUUGCAAUAAUACUUACUUCUGCUUCCGAGUGUUGCUCCAAUAGAAGCCGUAUAUCUUCAAGUUCAGUCGGUAUUCCACGAUAACUUGCCGGAUGGUUCCACCUAAUUAAAUAAAUUUUUAGCAUUCUUUUAUUCUUACAAAAUCUACAUAUCAAUUUCAAAAUGUAAUAUAAAAUUUACCUCGUUACGAGUGGGAAUGUAUAUGGGUGGUUCACUCAAGGACGUAGAAAUGGAAAGCGAAACCAUGCCCAUGAUUGCAGUAGUGACAGGCAACCUCCGAUUUUUGCUCUCCUCGGUUUGGUCGCCCCGCACAUCUCCCGAUAUAAUGUUGCCAAGACGGCAGACCCCCAACUAAAUUCACCGGCUGCUCUAAAAUCAACGAGUUUUAGCAGCCACCUUAGAUGUACACGGCUCCGUGAUGUGUCGGCCAUGAGAUAGCCUCCAAUUAUUUGAAGAAUGUAUGAUCGAGCAUAUCGGAUUCUUUCAAUCUCGGUUGAAUUUUCAUUCAGACCGGGGAAGGUGGCACGUAACCAGCCCAUCUCCACCUUACCUCCAUCCAUUUUAUCCGGAACGGCGCCCAAAAGCUCGUAGCACACCGCCUCCCAAUUGCUAGAUUGGGCAGACCCGUCACUGGGUGCCCAUCCACCGGCAAUCCCAAAUGCNNNNNNNNNNNNNNNNNNNNNNNNNNNNNNNNNNNNNNNNNNNNNNNNNNNNNNNNNNNNNNNNNNNNNNNNNNNNNNNNNNNNNNNNNNNNNNNNNNNNNNNNNNNNNNNNNNNNNNNNNNNNNNNNNNNNNNNNNNNNNNNNNNNNNNNNNNNNNNNNNNNNNNNNNNNNNNNNNNNNNNNNNNNNNNNNNNNNNNNNNNNNNNNNNNNNNNNNNNNNNNNNNNNNNNNNNNNNNNNNNNNNNNNNNNNNNNNNNNNNNNNNNNNNNNNNNNNNNNNNNNNNNNNNNNNNNNNNNNNNNNNNNNNNNNNNNNNNNNNNNNNNNNNNNNNNNNNNNNNNNNNNNNNNNNNNNNNNNNNNNNNNNNNNNNNNNNNNNNNNNNNNNNNNNNNNNNNNNNNNNNNNNNNNNNNNNNNNNNNNNNNNNNNNNNNNNNNNNNNNNNNNNNNNNNNNNNNNNNNNNNNNNNNNNNNNNNNNNNNNNNNNNNNNNNNNNNNNNNNNNNNNNNNNNNNNNNNNNNNNNNNNNNNNNNNNNNNNNNNNNNNNNNNNNNNNNNNNNNNNNNNNNNNNNNNNNNNNNNNNNNNNNNNNNNNNNNNAAUUGAGAGAUUUUGACCGUUGGGCACUGUUCACGCGCGCGUCCACAUCGCGUCCACGUCAACGUGACCUGCUGAUGUGGAAGGAAAUCGCUCCCUUGAGGGCGCGAUUUCCUUCCACGUCAUCAGGUCGCGCUGACGUGGACGCGACCUUCUGCCCCGUCCCCUGACAUCGCUCCGACGUGGCGCGAUUUUAGGGGAAAUGGCCCAGUCCGGUAAAUAAUUAAAAAACCGGCCUAUUUCGGUAAUUUUAUAAAAAAUUGGCUUUUUUUGGUAAAUCCCUCGCUAUUUUGAUUUAGAAAAUUAUUAUAAAUAUUUUUCGGUGUUUGUUUCAAUGGUUUUAUAAUUUCCUUUUCCAGCAGCCGCUUUCAAAACACCACCAGAAUAAUAACGAAACUGAAUCUUUAAAUAAAACCGGCUUAAAAAUAAUAAAUGAUUUCCUAAGAUCAAAAGGAACAACUUCCCUACAAAAUAGACUAGUUAGCGUUGCUGUUAGUUUCUAACGAUCAACGUUGGUCAAAGGGCUUUGUUGGUCAAAAUUGUCAAUUCAAGGAUUCAAUUGAGUAGAAGAGGUUCCGAGGGAUUUAAUUAAUUUUUUUUAAAGUUAAAAUUCUUAAUAAGCCCAUAUUAUUUUGAUUAAUUCUAUUAGUCAUCUCUAAUUUAUUGCCAAUAGUCUUAUAGCAUAAUGUCAAAUUUAGCCACCAUAUUUAUAUAUUUUGUCAAUUUAACUCUUUUUCUUAUUCUUUUUAGCUAAAUUGGCCCUUAGUCUUUUAAAAAAGAGUCAAAAAGUUUUUUUAACAAAAAUCCUGACUAAAACAUUAAUUUUUUAACAAAGUUGGCAUGGAAACUUGUGUUACAGUCCACAUGUACUUCAUGUAGACAUAACUCUAUUUAUUAUAUGCCACACCAACAAGUAAAUUAAAAAUUAUAAAAAAAUUCAAAAAAAAAAAAAUAAUAAUAUGAAGUACAUGUGGAUUGGCAUGUGAGCUGCCAUGUUUAAAAAUUUAACGGUUUAUUUUCAUUAAAAAAAUAACAUUUCAACUAUUUUUGAAAGGUUUAAGGUUAAAUAUGAUUUUUUUAAAAGGUUGAAGACCAAUUUGAGCUAAAAGAACAAAUGUCAAAUUAACAAAAAAGAAUGUAAAUGUUGAGAACCAAAUUUAACGUUAUGCCUAUUCUUAAUUAGUUCUAAACUUCAAAAUAGGUUAAUUAAAUCUUUAAAAUAUUAGUGUAAUAGCCCAAUUUGCCCAGGGCCCAUUCAGAAUAAGCAGAAAAAAACCAAAAAAAUAAUUAAAUGUCCACAGUCUAAAUACAUGGGCCCAACGUGGCCCAAACUGUUUCAACAUAACCCCAAGCCCAAUCACUAAACCCAAUUAAACUACACCUAGCCCAACUACACCAAGCCCGACUAGCCUAAACCCUAGCCUGAAUACCCCUGGCCCAAAAUCGAUUUUUAUGUAUUUUGAAAUCUUUUCAAAGUUCCGACACUAAGACAUUAAACAAUUGAUUCGGUACCAAUUUUGGGCGGCACGAGGGUGCUAACCCUUCCUCAUACGUAACCGACUCCUGAACCUGUUUUCUCAAAAUUCGCAGACCUAAAAUUAUUUUCAAGGUGAUCCGAUCACAUCUCAAUAAAAGAUCAGUGGCAACUCCCGUUUUCAUUUUAAAAGUCGAACCCCGUUUUUCAAACUUAAAAAGGGUUUCGACAAUUAGCAUUGUAUCUAUGCAAUAAAUUUUAACGUAUUAAAAAAUUAAUGUCAAUAAAAUAUUAUCUAUGUUAUAGAUAGAUACGUCUUUACAAUUUGAUCUACGUAUUUCAUAUACACUUUAACUCAAACUUGAGUUGACAUUUAAUGCCUAAACUAAUUGUUAAGCUAAUGGAAAGGGUUGAUUGAUAUGAUACUAAUACUUUGCGGAUUGAAUUAAAACAUUUUUAAAAUUUAAAAUUGAAUUUACAAUCUGCAUAAUUUGAGAACAUUACGUCAUAGUUUAAUGUGUUUAUGGUAAAUUAGUCAAUAGUAUAAUAGUAAACAAGUUACGUUGCCUAGUCCUUGAUCAAACCUGACAUGCUCUAUUAUAAUAGUAAACAUUAACUUCUCUUUACUCAGUUUAAUUGUGGGAUUGUAAUUAUCAUUUAUGUUGGCCUUAAAUCGUAGGAUUAGAACUAUUUAAUUUGACUUGAUUAAUUUUCAAAAUUACAUGCUAUUUCGGUUUAAAAAUUAUUAUAAAUAUUAUAAAUAUUACGUCAUAGUUUAUGUGUUCAUGGCCAAUUAGUCAAUAGGAUAAUAGUAAACAAGUGACGUUGCUUAGUCCUUGAUGAAACCUGACGUGCUCUAUUAUAAAAAUCAAUGAAAAAGAUUAGUGGGAAGAACUGAGAAACAAAAGUCUUUGGGUCUGAAACAAAUGCAUGCACCGAUCUAACUUUCAGAUGCCUUAAAGAUUAUAUGGUUAGGACUUAAAAGAUCGUUAAAGAUUAUUUAUUAUUUGAAAACAGGUUUCUUGCAUUUAAUAUAUUAUUAAUAAAAUUUUAUUGAUUUUAAAUAUAUAUAAUUUUUAUUAAUUUUAAAAAUAGUUAUAUUUAUAUAAAAAGAAAAUAGUAUUGGGUUAAUUGAUUAAAUUGAAAAUUGGUGGUCUGUCUAAUUUUGUACAUACCCAAGAUAGAAAAUACAUAUCUUUAUUAGCUAAUUACUACUUCUUUUUUAAGGAACUAGUUACUACUUUUUAGACUUAUUUAAUAUGAAAAUCACAUUUAACAUUUAAUUAUGUUUUAAUUAAAUAAUUUAGUUCAGUUGGUCCAACUGAUUUAAUUUAUAUUUUAAUUGAGGCUGACCGGCCGAGGGAAGGACUGAAAUGAUAUAUUUCUAUAAUUCUAAAGUUCAACAGAGGAUAAAUAUUUACUUUGUAACACAUUUCUACACAUUUCAUCUUCUAAUAUUUUACAGGCAUCAACUUUGAAUAAGAGAAUCAAACAAAAAGACAAAUCAACAUUUCUUUUAAUCUAUUUGCAAUUCUCAUGCAAUGGGCCGCCCUACACCAAUCUUAUUGUAUAAUUGUUUCCUUGCAUAUAGGUUGUCUUUUUUGACUUAAACUCACCAGUAUAUUUUACCUAUAAAUACAUGCAACAAUUGCACUCUUAUCCUCACAGAUUCUGUGCCAAAUUUCAAGAGCAAACCAAAAAAGGCAGCAAAUUAAGCUUUUCAAUAUUUGCUUUUGAUCAAUCGAAAUGGCUUCACAAGUUUCUCAAAUGCCUUCUUCAUCACCCCUUUCUUCCAAUAAGGAUGAAAUGCGUCCCAAAGCCGAUUUUCAGCCUAGCAUUUGGGGAGAUCUCUUCCUCAAUUGCCCCGACAAGGUAUGCAUACAUAUGACCAUAUUGGUAUAUAUAUAAUCUUAACAGAUUAUUUGUUUAGUUAUUUAGUGAUUCAAUAUGAAGCAAAUUUUCAUUAUUUUGAGCAGAAUAUUGAUGCUGAAACUGAAAAACGCCACCAACAAUUGAAAGAAGAAGUGAGGAAGAUGAUUGUGGCACCAAUGGCUAAUUCAACCCAAAAGUUAGCCUUCAUUGAUUCAGUCCAAAGACUGGGUGUGAGUUACCAUUUCACCAAGGAGAUCGAAGAUGAACUAGAGAAUAUCUACCAUAACAACAAUGAUGCCGAGAACGACCUCUACACCACAUCCCUUCGAUUCCGACUACUCCGAGAGCAUGGAUUCAAUGUUUCAUGCGGUAAUUACUGGAACAACAACAUGGUAUUUUUAAGUUUCUUGAGUAUAUAAUAGCAUGGAAUGUUUGAUAACAAUAUUUCAUUUUGGGUAAUUUCAUCUCAGACGUAUUCAACAAGUUUAAAGACGAGCAAGGGAAUUUCAAGUCAUCCGUGACAAGCGAUGUUCGAGGAUUGUUGGAACUUUACCAAGCUUCCUAUUUGAGGGUUCAUGGGGAAGAUAUAUUGGAUGAAGCAAUUUCUUUCACCAGCAACCAUUUAAGCCUUGCAGUAGCAUCUUUGGACCAUCCUUUAUCCGAAGAGGUUUCUCAUGCUUUGAAACAAUCAAUUCGAAGAGGCUUGCCAAGGGUUGAGGCAAGACACUAUCUUUCAGUAUACCAAGAUAUUGAGUCCCAUAAUAAGGUUUUGUUGGAGUUUGCUAAGAUCGAUUUCAACAUGGUACAACUUUUGCAUAGAAAAGAGCUAAGUGAGAUUUCUAGGUAUGUUUUUGAAUCUCUUUCACCCAUUUUUUUUUCUUUUUUGUCUUUUUUUUUUUUUUUGGUGGAAGGAGGGUUGAAUUUAAUCGCGGCAUCAUUCUCAAUAUAGGAGACGAGUUGCAAAUGCUAAUAUUUGAAUCUUAAUAUAUAGCACAAGUUAAAAGUGAUGGAUUCAUCUUUUUCACUUACAUUAUUUUACUUAUAUUAUAUAAGUUAUAUAUAUAUUUUAAAAUUUGAGGUUGCCAAUUUACUUAAGAAUCUAACAAUUUACUUAUUGACAACAUGAAUGUGAAACAAAUUAAAACUUUGAAUAUUCAUUUUACUAAUGGGGUUUUCUAUGAUAUGAUUUUUUUAGGUGGUGGAAGGAUUUAGACUUUCAAAGAAAGUUGCCAUACGCAAGAGAUAGAGUGGUUGAAGGCUAUUUUUGGAUCUCAGGAGUGUACUUUGAGCCCCAAUAUUCUCUUGGUAGAAAGAUGUUGACAAAAGUGAUAGCAAUGGCAUCUAUUGUAGAUGAUACAUAUGACUCAUAUGCAACAUAUGAAGAGCUCAUUCCCUAUACAAAUGCAAUUGAGAGGUUAGAUUUCUAAAAUUUUGUUGGUAAUAGGUUAGGUUUCUUUAGUUGAAGUUAACAUUGAAGUUGAAUUCAGGUGGGAUAUCAAAUGCAUAGAUGAACUUCCUGAAUACAUGAAGCCGAGCUACAAGGCACUAUUAGAUGUUUAUGAAGAAAUGGAACAACUGGUGGCUGAGCAUGGGAGACAAUAUCGUGUCGAAUAUGCGAAAAAUGCGGUAUGUACAUCAACAAACAUUUAUUUUGUACAAAAGAGAUAAGAUCUUAGCUAAAUUCUAGAUUUGAAUAAACAACUAACUCGAAUAACAAUAUAUAAUCAUUUAAAUAUUAUUAUUGAAUUUGAAUUGAUAUUAGUGAUAAUUGUUGGGAUUUUGUCGCCUCAGAUGAUACGACUUGCUCAAUCUUAUCUUGUGGAGGCCAGAUGGACUCUUCAAAACUACAAACCAUCAUUCGAGGAGUUUAAGGCUAAUGCAUUGCCAACUUGUGGUUAUGCCAUGCUUGCUAUUACAUCUUUCGUCGGCAUGGGAGAUAUUGUAACACCAGAAACCUUUAAAUGGGCAGCCAAUGACCCUAAGAUCAUUCAAGCUUCCACAAUUAUUUGUAGGUUUAUGGAUGAUGUUGCUGAACACAAGGUAUAAUAAUAUAUUUAAAUAAUCACAAGAAACCAAACUAUUAACUCAAUAACGAUGGUUUUUGUCACGAUUUGAAACAAUUAAAGUUUAAUGUUUAUAUAUCAAAUGUUUAGCCUUAAAUCGAAGAAUAAGAAAAGAUAUCUAGUUUCAUUUUAAAAAUAUAUAUAGUUUAACAAACGAAUAGAAUUUAGGUUAUAUAGUGAUUGAAUAAUUUUUAUUUUAUUAUGGUUGCAGUUCAAACAUAGGAGAGAAGACGAUUGCUCAGCAAUUGAGUGUUACAUGGAAGAAUAUGGUGUAACAGCACAAGAGGCAUAUGAUGUAUUCAACAAGCAUGUUGAGAGUGCUUGGAAGGAUGUGAAUCAAGAGUUUCUGAAACCAACAGAAAUGCCAACAGAAGUUUUGAAUCGUAGCUUAAACCUUGCAAGGGUGAUGGAUGUACUCUACAGAGAAGGUGAUGGCUACACAUAUGUUGGAAAAGCGGCUAAGGGUGGAAUCACUUCAUUACUCAUUGAACCAAUUGCACUUUGAAAUCGUAUUAAAUUUUCCUCUUCUGUUCCUUAAGGAA